CCUGCAACAGUCUGUCAUUGUGAUUGCACAAGACUAGAUUUAAAGUUACGCAUUGACGCGAGCAGCGAUUUCCUCCCAUGCCCUCUCCCUCUCCUUUGCAGCUGCUGCUGUAUUGCACUUUCUUUUAAAAACGUGCUGUAAUUCGCCGUUGGCUUGCUGCUGCCCCCUCCUUCUCCCUGUUUCCAUUGGUUGAUCAAUGAAUCUGGGCUCCACAGAUGCUGGCUGUUUAUGUCUGGCGUGCACGUGCUUAACUCCAGGUCAAACUACUCGGAGUUGCUAAAACUGUCUCAAAUCAGGUGUUGUGAAACCGGAAACUCAGAGUUUCCUAUCUCAGAGUAGAUCAACUCAGAGUUAAGGAUUUAACUCAGAGUUUGUUGAACCACCUACGUGAAACGGACCCCAGGUUGUAUAGAGGCCCUCUGAUACAGCACCAAAAAUCAUUUCAAAACCUGCAACAUAUAAAGAAAGAGUGGAGCAAGGCCACAGGUUCUAACAUUAUCACAUCUCUUUUCUUCAUUUCAUUACCUGAUGUUUGAAGGAAAAUCCCCACAGUCACCUGUGGACAGGUUACCAUGGUUACCAAACAAUUUUGUGAAACAUGCUGCUUACACAGAUUGCUGCCUUGACAUGAUCAGCAGAUGCUCUUGAAAGCAGCCCAGCUUAUAAAUUCUUAUUAAUAUAACUGAUUAUAUUCUUUUACUAAAUCUGUCAGUGUGUCUUUUUUUUACUUUCAUACCACAAAGGAACUAAACCAGGGAUAUUUCUGUCCAUGCUAAGACAGCAAAGUAGAGCAUCUUAAGCAGAGGUGUGGUGUGCUUAUGAACCAAAUAUCUAAAAUAUAUCAAAUUAAAUUCAGUCCAAGAAAUGAAAGAUAAAGCCUGCAAUCACACAGACGUAGGACACAAAUUAGUUUGAAUGCCAUAUGCUUCCUAAGUGUCUGAGCAGAUGGAUUUUUAUCUGCUUUUUUAAGAGUUGACAGAAUCCUUAAACCUCAGGCUUAACAGACGACCAUUCAAAGCAUAUGGGCUGCCAACUGGAAGAUGGAGAGAACUUAGUUCUUACAAAUAUUUUUAAGGGUCACCAAGAAAUGCCUGUGAAGAGGACCUGUGAUCUUGACCCGUGAUAUAAUGGUGCCAAAGGUUUGUCAUUAGCUUUGGAGCAUGUAGCGCUCUGAACAUGACUUGACAUUAAAUAUAUUAUGUAUAUAUAAUAAUCUAUAGUAUAGAAAUUCAGUGUGUCAUCAAGCAUAAAAAUAAACAUCCAUUUCCAUAGAAAACAUUUGGAAAAUAGCUCCCUUUCUCAGGACUGUGUGGGCGCAGCAGCUAACGUGUUGAUUGAACAGUCACGACACAAAGUGGUGCAGCAUGCCACCCUAUGUGUUUGAGCCUUCUGACUCAGAAGUGAAGGACAGAGAAACUCAAGCACCUGAAAAUAACUCUUAUCAGGUGGUCUCUGAGUGGUGAGUCACAAAAUCACUUCUAUUACUUGCUACAUUUAGACUUAGUAAUCUCCACGUCCUGGACAUCAGGGACAUGUGAUCCCAAACAGGUGGAGGCUGAAGUGCAGGAUGGCACAUGACGCACUAUAGCUGAGCUAACUUUCUGAGCAUUGCUUAGAAAAAGGUCAUGGGGGAAAUGAGUGGACUGCUUUCCUAUGACUCUUCCAUAACUCACCACCACAACCCUCCAAAGCCCUUGUGAUCAUCAGGUUAAGCUCUUUGCUUGUUAAAGACCCUUAAAUUCUGUCUAUAACUGUUCUGGUCUUUCAAAAUUACUCGGAUCAUGAGGAUGAGCCUUACUGGUUUUGGGUGAAAAUUCCACGUGGAGCUUUUGUAGUUGUUCUAUGGCAGUGGUUCUCAAGUCCAGUCCUCGAGGCCCACUGUCCUGCAUAUUUUGGAUGUUUCCCUGCUCCAACACACCUGAUUCAAAUGAUUAGCUCCUUUUUAAGCCAUUACGGAGCUUAAUAACGAGCUGAUCAUUUGAAUCAGGUCUGUUGGAGCAGGGAAACAUCCAUACAUGCAGGACAGUGGGCCUCGAGGACUGGACUUGAGAACCACUGCCAUAGACUGUCACGGGGGGCUGCUCAGAGACUCAGGUGCAGAUAAAGGAGAGACACAGCAUACAUGCAGAUACACAGAAAAGGGUUUAUUAACAACACUAAGUAACAAAAAAAUUAAUGCAGUCAAUCUGGAGAACUGAGGAAGUGGGUCAAACAAGAACUAAAUGCCUUUAAGAGGAUACUACUUGUGUGGAUAAAAAUAAAUAAAAAAUAAGGGUCUUCUACAAACCAAACACAUCUAAACUAACUGAUCUCGGAGAAGCUAAAGAAUCUAAAAAGAACAAAAAAAAAACCUCAAAAAUCUGACAAACUAAGCUACAUGCUGAGAGGAAAACAAAACACACUAAAAGACUCACAACUGUUUAUGUUUAUUCAGCUUUCAGCAUGAUCACAGACGUUUAAAAAAGACAGAUGCCAUUAAAAACACUGAAUUAUUUUGCUGAUUACAAAAAAUAAAGCUUCAAAUAUAAAAUGCAGCUUAAGAAGCAACAACCUAAAAACUUAAAAAGCUAAACAUCAUUCUCAUUUAGUAGUCUGCGCAUAUAUGGGAUUGGGGAUUUCUUGUAUCUCUCAGUUCGCCAUGUUGGGGUGUCCAGGCCAUCUCCAUUCCGUGUUUGUCGUCCAGAGAUCUCUUUCCUGAGUGGGGGUAGCCAGUUUCUGAAGUUGGACUUGAACAGCUUCCUGGCAAAAUCAAGACUUAGUUGAGUGCGCCUCUCUGCUAGGGAGCACAAUUUGAGGGUGUGGAGAGCUUCUGUGUAUCCUAUGUACCGCUGGCCCAGAAUGAUUCUGCUCGCCCGUUUUUUAACUCUUUCCAGACUAUUUGACUGGCUGGCAGUAAGGGAACUGUGCCAGACUGGGACAGCGUACUCCAGCGCUGGCCGAACAUAGCCUGUGUAGAUGGAGACCAAUUCUGGGUCUUUGACACCAAAUUUCUUCAGACGGCAUAGGACAAACAGCUUUCUGUUGGCUGAGGUCAACAUAUAGUCCACCUGACUGUUCCAUUUCAAGUCAGCUUGAAUGGUGACCCCCAGAACUUUGACUGUGUCACAAACUUCCAGUAUGUUUUGGUUUGGUUUGGUUUUAGUUGGUCCCACAACUACCCUGACUAGAACUAAUCGACCCAGUGAGCUAGUAGAGAGCCUUGCUACAGGAUCCAGUAGAGGGAGAAGAUGAGAGAAGGCAGUCUGAGGAGGUGUGCAACGCAGCUGAGUGCUUGAAAGGUCCAGCAGGGAAGCAGAGAAGAGCAGGAUCUGAGUUGUGGGAGCAGUCAGGUUUUAUGGCAGAGGUCUGAGUUGCCUGUUCCUGUCUGCACUCAACACACCUCACUCACGCCCACUUGGGGAAAAAAAGGAAAAGAGAGAAAGAAGGGGAAAGGGAGAGGCUGCCACUUGGCAGAGCUGGAGGGCAUUACUUAGACCUUUAGGUGGAGCUAACCUGGGGCCUUAUGUAUCAACGCUUGUGGCGCAAGAAAACCUUGCGUACGCCAAAAUCGGCGCACACGUCCAGAUUUAUCAUCGCGAAACAAGCGUCGGUUCCAGCGCUAAUCAACGCAAAGUCAGGAGGUGGUGUAGAAAUUGGCGUUGAGCCGAUACUUGCGUUGACUGUGAUUCGCACUUUGGCGACGCUGUGUGGCGGUGUUUGGUGACUCACUAUGUGACAAGCGUGCACCACAUCCCCGUGGCCGAGCAGCACGUCGCCCCACAUGACGAACCAGCAGCAGACGGAGGGAUGCGAGCUGAUCCCUGCCGGGCCGCCGUCCUCGCGCGGGAGAAUCUGAUCGCCACAGUGUGAAUGGGUAAGAAGUGAAUAUACAGUUCAAUGAGCCAAAUUAAUUUAUUUUCUCCACCAGACGCUCGAGGACAUUUACGAGCCGGUCCAGCUGCUCGUUGAUCCCCGCAAUCCCCCUGAUGAUUUCUUCCUGCGAUUGCAGGAACCCCUCCGCGAGGACCCUUCCACUGCGUCCGGGUGGUCCAGCGGAAGCGCCGCGGCUGGUGGACGCUCCACCGCUUGUCGGCGCGCUGGUGCUGAUGCUGGUGCUGGGGCCGGGGGCUGGGGUGGCCCGAAUGCCGCUGGUCCUGGCCGACGACUCCAAGCCGGCGGACGGGCUGCCGCGGGCCGGGGUUCCGCAAGCCGGCGACACGGCCGACACAUUGAUUUCUGUGACGCAAUAAAAAUAUUAGUUCAUUUCAAUUCCUGCUUCUGUGUAUCUGUUGCGUUUACAUCUCUCUCCACGGUAUCAUAGGUAAUGUAAUCCAGUAUUUAGAGGUCAGUUAUGCACAUUACAGUUGUUUAUUGCAUAAAAAGUUAUCGAAAAAUGAAGUUAAGGGCAAAGUAUAAAUCACGUCUAAAAAUAGACUGAAUCCCGACGUUGAAAUGAAGUAUAAACUUAGACUAGACGUCUAAUAUACGUCUUUUGCUCAGUGGGAUGACAAAGCAUGCGGACAUUUGUGAGACACGCCACUUACCCUAUAAUAAUAAUCGCCACCACCCGCUGCUCAAACGGUGUGAGGGUCUCCUCCCCCGGACCCCCACCUGUCUGGCCAGUACUCCUCCGGAGGGCAGCUGUUCGCCGCUUGACCUCCACCUUGAGGUCUGACCACUUUUUUUUUAAUGUUCGCGGGGGUGCGUGUCUCGGAACCCACCGCAUUCACCCUCUCGCAAACUUUCUCCCACUCCAAGCGUUUUUGAUUUGCACUGACGCCACUGGACAGGCUGCCAAACAAAACACGCUGUCGCUCCUCCACCUCCGCCACCAGCACCUCCACCUCGCACGCCGUAAAUUUAGUUUUUCUUGUCAUUUUGUCUGCGUGCGAGGACAGGGAGACCCUAUUUAAAUAAAUCUGCAUAUUUAUAGGAGGGCGUAACGGGGACGGGCCCAGUCACUCCGACAUCUGCGCUCAAUUCCACGCUGAUUGGGAUUUAUCAAGGAAACACACGUGGAUUUCGGCGCCCGCACACAUUGAUACAUACAGAUUUUUUUCAGCGUGACGGACCUUGCAUGCGCUCGUUUCUGGUAUGAGUUCCACGCAAGUGUUGAUACAUGAGGCCCCUGGUCUUUCCAAAGCCAUUAGAUUCUCAGUUGGAGCUCUUUUGGUCGUUCGAAGGCCCUUAGACCUUUAGGUUCUUACAUUCUCAGGUAGAGCUCUUCUUGUUAUUUCAAAGCUCUAGUUGUUCCAUGAGUAUAUGAUUCUGAGUUGGAGCUCUUCUGGGUGUUGCAAAGCACUUAAAACCUGAGACACAGCUUUUCUAAUCACUGCAAAGCCCUUUGAUCCUCAGAGCUCUUGGAUUCUUUGUUGGGCAUUUUGCUUUUUUGCUUCAGAGCCCCAUGACUUUUGAACUACCUCCCAGAGGAUAUAAGGCGUGCAGACAUCUUUUACAUACUUUUCAAAUCACCUGCUAUGCCUUUUUUUUUUCUUUUUACUGCUUCUCAAUUAAACUCCAUUGGUUUCUUUCAUUGGUCUAGAUUAUUGACUUUGAAAGUAAGUGGUGUUGUAAUAAGUGAAAUUAUGUCAAGUCAGCAAGUUGUUAUGGAGGUAGAACCCCUAAAUUGUCAACCAAUCCUUCACAACACAGCUGUUUUGUGCCAGAUAAUACAUUUCGGGUGUGACUCUGCACUUUUAAAAGGGGCCACCAUAUGCUGUUGCAUGCAUGUCAAAUAAGCGAGCAUAUCUGAUUGCCAAUGACUGUCACGGCUGCUGUCACACAUGAGCUGCUGAAUUAACUUCAGAUUCCCUCUCAGUUGUCUUGGCACGUUUUAGAGUUUUCAGCCAGCUUCAGCACUGUGUAAUUGUCAGGUCAGGAUGUGCCAUGGCAUUUUGACCUUUGUGUUUUAUGCUGUGUCCUUUCCUGUCCUUCGCCUGUGCUUGGUUCUAGGCGACACACACAGACAGGAGGAGAUGCAGGGAGGCAGCAAUGGAUGGGUAGGAGGGAUAAAGGUGGCAAUUUGGCAAUACCAGCAAAGCAGUGAAGUGCAAUCAAAAGUCUUGUUCUCUCUGCUGCACUUUGUGUGUGUGUGUGUGUGUGUGUGUGUGUAGUGAUGUUCUGAGUGAGACUCCAUUAGUGAGUGCCACUGUCAGGUCACCAAACAAGGUGCCUGUCAACUACCAGAGAAGAAAAGACUAGAAUAAACAAAUGACAGACGUGCUAUGACUGUGUUUUAGACUAAAUUUCAGCAGAGUGUGCUCUAAAAGCAGCAAUCACUUUGAAGUGCCAGAAUCGAAAAAUGUCCUACAAUACAUGGCUGCAAAGCUGAAAUUCAUCAAAACUGGAUCAUCAAAUAACCCAGAUGUAAAAUUGGAUGGACUGCUUCCUCCAACACUGGUUUCCCCCUUUUAUUAAUGUGCUUUAAACACUAUCCUUAUUAAAUUAAUCUUUAAUUACCAUUGCAGUCAUCAUCACAGAUCAUUCUAUCUUCAUGUUUGAAAGUAGUUUUUUUUCCUUUUCUUUUUUUUUUCUCCACAUUGGGGGUGGCUUAAAAUACCUCAGCACUAAAGGACCUCUGUUGCAGUUGCCAUGGAGAAGUUGCAAGUCAAAUUUGCAAAUCAGAGCUGUAGAAACUUAAAAGCCCAUGAUAUUCAGUCUGGCCAAUCAUGGUGCAUUGGUGUGAACAUUUACCGUAGCUUUUUAAACAUACAGAAUUUGAGGUGUGAUAAUAUUUGAAACCCUAUAUGUAGUGGGAGCCUGCAGAUGGAUGCAUGAAGGUGGUGGAGCUGAAAGUUUGAGUGCAGCAGGUGCAGGUCAGCAGAGAUAAUGACAGACAGAGCAGAGAAUGAGAGAGCUGAAAUCAUCACUGCUUAAUUGGUUAGAUAUGUUUGACUGUGAGAAGGACAUAUAGCAAAUGUGAACUCAGCACAGGGCAAGUUACCCACCUGAAGUAGAUCAAGGCAUGACAGUAUUCAUUCAUGUACAUUUUAUUUGUUCAGAAAUGUUCUUAUUGAGAUUGCCUUUUUAAAGAGGAAAGCACAAACCUUUACUUGAAGAGCAAGCAGCUGAUUUGACAGUGGCCUUUAGCUGGUCAGCAUUUUUGGUUUAGGAGUUUCUCACCUUCAUAUGGAUAACUGUUCAGCAGACUCUUUUUGGGAUUUAGCUCAGGCCACUUGGCUGGCUAAGUAACCCAAUGGUCUGUAAACCAGUUUGUAGGAAUUUUGGCGCUGUGGGCAGGUGCAGGAGUCCUGCUGGCAAAGGAAACCAGUAUAACCAUAAAACUUGUCAGCAGAUUGAAGCAUAGGGGUGUUUAAAACCUGGUUGACUUGAGGCUGUGUUGUCUGUGGACUUGAUAAAACACAGUAGAUCAACACCAGCAAAAGGAAUAGCACCCCAAACCAUCAUAGACUGUGGAAACUUCACAAAUUGGCUCCUUAGUCUAGCUAAGACUCUUCUGACGUCUCUAGAGUGUCCAGUGUUGCCUAACUAGAAACCUUGCCGCUAGAUUUAGCGACUUUUCAGACACACCUGGUGACUUAUUUUCAAAAAAGCGCCAAGCGACAAAUCUAGUGACUUUUUCUGGAGUUUAGAGACUCUAACAUGAACACAGGUAUCGUUGUUACUCUUCUCAAUGGGUAGCCGGUGUGCAUCAAAAACACAGACGCAGACACCCAUCUAGCGACUUCUAGCAACUUUUACGACAGCCACUAGUGAAUUUCUUUACUAAGGAGUUGGCAACACUGGGAGUGUCUUGAUAUCAGUUACAGUCUAUUUCCUACAGAUGUCUCUGGGUGGUGGCCCUCCAUGCUCUUACUCCAGCCUAAGUUCAGUUUUACCAAACUUAUAUAUGGUGAAUUACUGAUGCACUUUUUCUCAAUACAGUGCAUCCCUAAAGUAUUCACAGCACGUUACUGUUAUCAUGUUUUCUUGUGUUACAGUCUUAUUCCAAAAUUUAUUAAAUUCAUACCUCUAAAUUCAACACACAAUACCUUAUAAAGAGAAAAACAUUUAUUUGAAUCUUUUGAAAAUGCAUUAAAAAUAAAAAUCUAAAAUAUAUCAUGAACAUGAGUAUUUACAGUGUGUCAUGGCAAGAGUACAUAUUGUCAGGAUGCACUGUAUUUUCCAGCAGUAUUUGUGAUGCACCAGCAGAUUGUACGUGAUUUCUAACUGAGACCAAAGUUGGGAACAAAAUCAUCAUGGACCGUACAAAUAUUACAAGAAUAUCAGAGUUUAUUCAGGUAUGGUGUAUCAGAGGAGACAGACUAACUCCCAGUGCCUUCAGUGGAAAAUAAGUGUUUAAGUCUCCUUAUUUACCCAGAUGUAAUGUGAGGCCAGUUUCAGUAAAUUUAUGAAAUAAAGACCUGUUUUCAUCCAGCCCUCCAUGGGUUAGUGUCCUUGUUUGAUAUUGCUGUUUUUUCUUUCAUAAAUGGGAUUGUCCUUCAUCACUUCAACACUAUAGAGACAUGUGAGUUGGAGUUAAUUUGGUAUUACUCUCAAGCAGAAACAGACCAAUACACUUCACAUUACAUGCGUGGAAGCAGCCAAGCAUCAAGUCGUGCGCCAUGGGUGAUGCAUUUUAGGUGUGAUAAUGAAUGACUGAGAGAAAGCGUAACACGUAGAGGACAGGUGAAGGAAUGAGCUGUUGGUUAAAAGUCCAGGUAUGCAGAAAGAAGUCCAGCUAUACCACAUCUUAGAAAUGGCAAUACCAUAUACUGGAGUGUCCUGGCUUAUCUGAAGUACUGCUAUUGCCUUUGUGCCAUUAAUUGAAGCAUGUGCUAUGUCUCACUGUAAGGCCGUAUAUACAUUUAAAUUUCUGCCAGUUUGUAAGUGUGUGUGUGCGUGUUUGCGCAAGCUUAGCAGCAGGUAUGCCCUGACAUUCUCCUCCUGUGCUCGUCAUGAAUAAACAUCUGUUCUGACUGCAGACUUAACAGCUUGUAAUAUGUAAUACACCCUAUCUGUAGCUGGGUGUGUAUGAGUGCAUAAUUUCUGUGUGUGUGUGUGUGUGGGGGGAGGGGGGGGGGUAUCGCUUCAUAUCAGAGUUGCCUCUCAGCCGUUCGUGUCUGUGCAUAAAAAGGAGGCUGUUGGAUGAGCCUGCGGAACCGUCACUCUCUGUCUCCUCAAACGCUGAAUCUUCAUUCUGUCCUUAAAUGUCUCUCGGCUUCUUUAUUGUUUUUCUCUCUUGGUUCCUCCCCUACUCUACCUCUCUCUUUCCCUAUCCCUCUCUUCCUAAAACCCCUGAGCCACUCCUCUGUUUGCUGAGCAAAGGCAGGAUGGCAGAUUUCCUCUCUGACUCUUUAUUCUCCUCCUCCUGUAAUCGUUUCCUCUCUCCGUCACUCUCUCACCUGUUUGCACAGUAAAGAUGAGGAUUUCCUCUCUCGACUCACAGACUCUAAUCCCCCUUCCUUGAUUUGUAGGCCUAGUCUUUGUGCCAUGCUUCCCAUUGUAGUAUUUCUACUAAAAGUCCUUUCAUAUUUCAAUUUCUUGUCUUUGUAGUAUUGCUGUCAUUACAAGAAGCUGCACACAGACAAUAAAGUCGGUUAAAAAAACAACUAAGAGAUGCAGCAACAAGGGGCUGUCCUCCUAAAACCUGUUUACAAAUGUCUAUAUUCUUUAAACUGUGAGGGUUCCUGGUGAAGAAGACACUUAAUCACAAAGCAUCAUAUCUGUUGAAGAGCUCCUGAGGUAAAGAGCUUCGUGGUGUACUGAAAAUGACUUUUCCAGAGACUUUGGGGUUUUCAAACAAAUAUUAAAAUGAAGGAAAGUGAAAGCGAUCAGAGAAAUGCCCUCUAAACUCUGAGUGAUGAAGAGUGAAAUAAAGCCUACAGACUGGACUGUGCAGGGACCCCGUUUGUGCUUGAUCUUACUGGAGCUGCACCAGUGCAGCCACCCUCCUCAGGUCCCUGUCACAGUGAUCAUCUCAGUGUGUGAUGACACAGUACAAGCUGGAGACAAAAUGAGGCAAGACAGGAGGGACAAACUGUAACCCACCAAAGGGUUGUGGGUAACAAAGAGUCUUCAAAUGUGGUCUUGUUGUUUCAUUGGGUGCCUGGGGGAGAAGGAGAACUAUUCAUGCCCUCCAACUGAAAUUCAAUCACCUGCCACUGCCUGUUUAAACUGUAUACCCCUCAUUCAGGUGCAACAAUUAGAAAUGGAAAUUAAAGUAUGUCAAAGAAAAACCCAAAGUUAUAAAACAUACUGAAAAAAAAAAAAAAAAGAAUAAAUAAAUAAAUAAAUAAACAUUUGUAGUUUGUAUGUCAUGAAAAAAUUAUUUGUUCUGGUUAAUUUGUCCAUGUUUUUCAUCCUUGGUGUUUUACGUCUGUUACAUCUAUGUUUAUUUGAAGGUUUUUAUUUGUUAUUUUGUUAUUUUUUUAUUCUUUUAAAUAUGCUAACUACAGAGAAACUCACAUAAAGUUCUCAACAGUUCCCCAGCACCUGAGCUACAAAGUCUGGCCUUAAAUUUGCCCCUCUGUUCAUCCAAAUGAUGAUGUGACACUGAAAGCAGGCUGCCGAACAUUGAUAGAUGUAUAACCUGUUAUUUCCUUUGUGUGUGUGUGUGUGUGUGUGUGUGUGUGUGUGUGUGUGUGUGUGUGUGUGUGUGUGUGUGUGUGUGUGUGUGUGUGUGUGUGUGACUUUGCACAUAUAGCUGUAAUGUGGCUGACCAAGCCAGGGUCAAGAAUGUGGACUCACAGGGAGUGUGUUAGUGUGUGUGAUUGAGAGGUGAAUGGCUGCUCUGCAGGGCACCAUUAUGCUCCACUGCAUGUGUGUGCGAAGAGUCACUAACCCCUCAAUGGAACUGCAGCAUAGGCCAAAUGUGUGUGUGUGUGUGUGUGUGUGUGUGUGUGUGUGUGUGUGUGUGUGUGUGUGUGUGUGUGUUUGUGUGAGUGUUUAUGCAUUUAGGAGUGUACAUGCCUGUUGUACCAUCUUUGAGAGCAAGCACAUUGCAAAGAGUGAAAAGACCUUAGCAGACCUGCUGACCUCCAUUUAGUCUUUAUUCUAGUGCUGCUAUGUUACAGUUAUUUAUGUGCCUCUUCAGGUCAUGUUGGAGUUGAUUUUACCAUCUCUGCACAAAGCUUCACUGUGCCUAAUGCUCAAACAAGAAAAUAAAAAGCAAACUCAUUCUCUUUCUAAGCCUCUUUGAACGAGAGAACCACGGAGAGUUUGGAUUCACAAUGCGUUGAAAGCCCCUUUGCAUCACUGUUUGACUUCCGAUUAUUAUCAACAUGAGUGAUGAGAAAUUAAGAACAUUUUUUUUUUUUUAAAUGAGCCUGAGACACGAAAUUGGAAAGGCAGCUUAAUGAUAAAUGAGCACUGUUGAAUUUCGCAUCCUUUUUCAUCUUCUGAGGUUACAGAAGUUAUAAAACGAGGUAUACAGGAUCACAUGUGCACGAAACUCUUAAUUUUAAAAAAUAUUUGUAGGUGAGCUGCAUGAGUUAAUGUCGCAUUUGUAACCCCUAUUUACCUGAUAUUUUUCCCUCCAGAAGCAUUGUUAAAUUGGAUAGAUGAUAAUAAUUACGUGCAAACCUGGAAGAGCGACACGCAACAGGGUGAACAAAAACAUAUGAGGAUUGAGAAUUAUAUCAGAGAUCAGUGAGCAUUUGUCUUUGUGUGUGCAUCACUGAAACUCAAUGAAAUUCCCAAGAUUGAAAGUGUCAGCGGCACUUUUCAUGGUUGUGGGGGACCUCUGGAUGAAAAGCAGAACAUCAGGGUGUAGAAAAUGUGCGCAAACUUUCAUUAUACAUUUGCAUGCUCAACCUAAAAAAGCAUGCAGUGUAGCUCAACCUGGAGAGCAGGUUGGAUAACAACCCUCUUGUUUUCAAGUCUUUUUUACCCUCAAGAUUAAUCAAUAUAUCUGAGGGAGCUGCAGAAAAUCAAGGCUUAUUCCUCAGCUGUUACAUAAAAAUUCUUCCUGAUGUAGAAGUUUCUUUAAGGCUGAUUGUGGACUUUUGAAACUGUUUGAGCUGAAAAAAGAACCUGUUAUUGACAGCUUUAAUGACUCAGACCAAGAUGGAGUAAAUUGACUAAGCAUCUGUCAUUAAUUAUUUCAUGAAGAUGUAGUGACUGACACUAUGAGAUGUCACUGUCAUUCACUGAAACUCCUGCUCGCAGUCUUCCUUUCUUCUAUCUAAGUAAUGAUUCAAAUCACAUGAAAUGAUGCUUUUCUGUAGACCACUAAAGUUUCAAAAGUGUUGAACACAUAGACCAUAUAUGGAAUGGACGCCGUCUGCCUCCUUGCUGGGUAAAGCUAUCGCAAGAACAGCACCCAUUAGUGACAGGCUGCAGUAUAGGUCAUAAAUCCUGCCUCCUCCAGCAAUCCUUAUGGAGCUGUGAUCAAACUUUAAAAAUUAAUUACAUUAAUUACUUUACAUUAAAUACAUUUUUCUCCCCCAUAGCUGCGAUGUUGACAUAGAGUUACUGUAAGACUGGUUUAUGCUCAAGUCCUCUUUUUUCUUUACAGCUCAUUUUGAAAAGUUAUUAGGGGGUUCAUGUUUUUAUGAUGGACACUUAAGCCUAUGGGCGUACGAAGAUUGUGUAGCUCACCCGGAGAAUACGCUGUUUGAGCCGAGCGUCAUCACAGUGACUCUCCUGCCAAAUGCAUAUAAUGCUACUGUACAAGUGGUGGUUCCAGGAAGUGGAAAAAAUCCCAGAAAUACUGAGAGCAAUUCGGCUUCAAAUUCAUAUAAUGAUGGAAAGCCGAGCCAAGUUGUCCCAGUCUAUGGUUAAACACCUUUGGCCAGCUGCUUUACAUUGAGACAUGUUUUAAACUCCAAACACCACCCUGAUCGCUAACUGUUAUAUGUAAAGCACAUUGUUUAUCUCUGCCUGACAGAAAAUAAAACAAGACUAGUGUUUAAAGUACGCGUUUACAAAUGGAUUCCUUAAGUAGUUUCUGACAUCCCUAAUUUUCAUAAACACGUACAAAAACUCUUUGGUCUUCAGUAGAGCUUGUUAAUUAAACCCAUUUCCAUUUUAGCCCCUAAGAGCAUAGACAUAUAAUAAUCCAGUGUGCAACCUCCUGUGUUACCCCUGUUACAUCCUGUAUGUUCUCAAUUUCACCUCACAGGAGGAGAGAGGAGAGCAGGGAGAGGAGCAGAAGGAGGAGAAAGCAGAGCAGCGAGAGAAGCAGAAGGAGGAGAAAGCAGGGCAUGAAGAGAAGCAGAAGGAGGAGAAAGCAGAGCAGGGAGAGGAGCAGAAAGAGGACAGAGGAGAGCAAAGAGAGGAGCAGAAGGAGGAGGAAGCAGAGCAGGGAGAGGAGCAGGAGGAGGAGAGAGCAGGGGGAGCCAGAUAGAGAAAGGAGAGCGAGGAGAGGAGCAGGAGAAGAAAGUUGUGUGUAUUUUUGCCAAGGGACAGAAUGAUCUUGAGCAGAGAGAAGCUGCAGGGAUCACAUAAAAGAGCUCAAAUCUUCUGUUUUUGUGACAGUGUAAAAAUACUUCCGAUAAGAUCUGACAUUUAAUUUAGUUAGUAUCAAUCACCUUUGUUAAGGCAGAGCUCUUAAAGUGCAGAAGUGAUGCACAGUCCCUUUCAGCAGUAGAACAUAUGAUCCAGUCAGAUGGACAUGCUUUAGUGGACAAAAAAGUAGGCUAAAUCUUGUUUUAAAUUGCAUAAACGCGUGUGAUAGAGAUAUCAAAUCAUUAGUAAUUAUUUCUAUAAUUGUAAUAUCACUAUUAAUCAAAACAGUCUUGAGCACCAAAAUGGAAAGAAGUGUGUGCUAAAUAACUUUGGCUAUGAUUUUAAUCAAAAGUAUAUAGUGUACAGCUUUCCCAUCAAGCUUUACUUAUAGAUGACUAGACUUGCAUCACAGUGGCAUUAUUAAUCAUUCGUAUCUCACUGAAGGUUAAAUGGGAUAUUGCUCCUCAGCAGAGCCACAGGUAAGAAAAUAAAGGUCCUGCCCUGCACAUGACAGGUCUCUCUUUGUCAGUCACUGAGAUUGUGAUAGUGGGCUCUAUUUUAGUGUCCGCCAGUGAGGCGGUGGAGGGCGCGCAGUGGUAUUUUCGUCUGGCGGAGCCCGGCAUACAGUCAGUUUGGUAUUUUUGUGGACUGAGGCAUACCGAGGUCCGCCAAGCUGGGCGUGGUGGCGUGGCAGGGGGAGGUGUCGACAGAAUAGGCUGGCGGAGUGACAUUUUCAUGCUUGCUGGUGGCGUAUAAAGUGCGCUGAAAGCUCGCCGAUUCAAACCUGGUCAGCUUUCAGUGCAGGCGGAGCGCAGCUGGUCUAGUGGUAUUUUGGUAGACCGGCGGCGUAUCGGCAUACGUCACUGAUGCCUCACCGGCAGGUUUCCACAAUGUCAGGCACAUUUCAGUGCAAUAAAUAAUCAAAAACAACUAUUAAUCUGACUCAGCACAUACAUUUAGAUCUAUAUCUGAGCUGAUGAGCGUGUUUGGACACACAACCUGACCAAAUCAACAUAGCUGAAACCGCAUUAAAUCAAAUUAAAUUAAAUAUCUAGUAAAUAGACACACGAUAAAGUUAACAAGAUAUGUAAUUUGUCUCCCUCCUUUUCUUUCUUCCUCUUCCUCUUAUUUCUCGCGACCUGGACAUGUCUCCGUGUCCUCUCUCCGUCCUGCUGCAGCGGCUGAACAGAUGAUUUGUUUCAGUGAUCAGAUGAGUUAUUUACUUUAAGCCUACAUACGAAUAUUAUAAUAUUACGUUUUGUGAGCCAAAUUUAUUUUAUAUGCCUACAUCUAUGAAAGAAAGAGCCAGGCCACGGUGAUGCAUCGUUACGCACAGAUGGUUCCAAUUUUAAUGCCAUUUUUGGAAUUUAUGUUGUGAUCUGUGCGCACAACCCACCUUUGUCACGUGAUGGUUGAAUAUAUGCAACUUUAUGUGAGUGUCUUUAUUUGUGGAAAAGGGUGUUUGUCUUACUAGUGGGUCCAACCUUACAUACACCAAAUCCAUCUGUGCUCACAUGAGAGAGUGUGAAGGACACCAUCUGCAGCGUUUACAGCGACACUUGUUGAGGGGCUGCCUUCUGUCGCCAUCUUGUGGCAUUACUGUCUUCAGACAUCUGUUGAUCUCUUUGACUACUUCACGAAAAUAGUAACACAACUCGCCAGUGGCGGAUUUAAAGGCGAGGAGAGGAGCUGAUGUAAUUGGUGAAAACAGGUCUCGGCUGUGUUAAACCCACUCCACGCCCUCUUUCCUCCCUUGCUACGACUUACGCGACUGGGAGGAGCUGAGUUGGGGGGGGUACUUAUGCCGGGCUGCGCCGCUCACGAAAAUACCAAAUUGUGCUUGGGAACGCCUUUGCGGCACAUCUCCGGCGAGGCACGAAAAUAGAGCCCUGUGUCUUUUCUGAGUGGUAAGGAGUCGGCAGCAUGUGGAGACAGGAAAUGGGUUUUUGGUGUGCUGGGGCCGGGUUCAUGAACUGUGAAUGACCAAGGCCAGCAAAGUAAGUUCUGAAGUAGAGGAAGAAAGCAUGGCUAAAAUAACACUGAGUCAUUGGUGGAAGCAGUAUGAAGGUUUCUUUGGUUUUUCUACAGUAGUACAAUAUCUGUCAGCCAUCACGACAGCAUACCUCACCACGGCAUUCACAAUACCUUGAAGGACAUCCUUCUGCUAGUUAAAAUUUCAGGCUUGGUGUUUUUUCUGUGUUUCAGAAGAACUCCCACAUAGUUUCCACACCGUCCGUCUCUUUGAUAAAAGUGAAAUGGGUGACAUUUACAUCUUCAGCUCUGAAUAUACCAUUAUAGUCAGAUUUGGGCUUUAAAAAUUGGUCUGACCUCAGAGUCAGGGUCUUCUGCAGACAAAUCUCCAGCGGUGUGUUUUCUUUUCUGCGCUUUUCUUUGGCUUCCUGUUUCCUUGUGCAUGCUGUCUCAUCCCUCUACCUCCUCUGCAUUUCUCACCCUGAUUUCUUUGGGGCCAUUGAACUAACACAGUUCAAAAGUGAAUGGGAAAAGAGCACACGAGGACGGCCCCAGUGUGAUGCUUCAAGGCUCUACAUGUCAGAGGUAUAAUGAGACUUGCAAAUCAGCAGGGGUUGAUGAAUGUUAGUGAGUGAAACAAAGUAAACACCCACACCAGACAUGUCUGCAGUCCAGAGGAGACACAGGAGGGCUCAAUGUGCAUUUUUGUUGCCGACUAAAGGUCCUCCUACUUCACCUAAUUGGCUCGUUUUCCUUCGUUUCUCACUCUCCAGCUUGACCUGAUGUUUGGUUUAUUAGCUCCAAAAAUAAAACAUUUCAUGAAAAGAAAAAGUGUUUUGUGCAGUAAACGCCUUUAAGCCUCUCUGUAAAUCUGAGCAAACUUUCUGAAAAAAGAAAGAAUUCAAAGAAACCGUUGUCACUCUUUGUUGUCUGCAGGGCUGCUUCUGGGUUUUAAAAAAUAAAAAAAGCAAAUGUCAUUGCUGUGACACAAACAGAAAAACCCAAAUGACUCCCUUGUUGAGGCACACGUAAACUCUUUAUGCACAGCAGGAAGUUAUAGGUUUCAGAGCAGGACAAACCUCUUCAAUUUCAACAAAGCCCUAAAAACUGAAUGCACCACCAGAUUCAGGAAGUCCACACUGAACAAAAAUGGAAAAUCUUGUAUAUGUCAUUAUUUCAUCUUCAAAACCAGCUCUAAGAAUCUUCAGACCAAAGCUGUGCACAUUUUAUGGUGAGAAGAAAAUAAGCAAACCCUUUAAGAUUAUGUAAGAAUCAGUUAAUAAUGUAAAAAGACUAAGCUUAAAUUUAUGCCUUAGAUGCCAAGUUAAUACAAUAUUAAAAUAAGGAGCACAGACCUGAUGGGCAACAUGAAACGAAAAGAGAGGAAAUAUUAAAACAACAACAACAACAACAACAAUAAUAAUAAUAAUAAUAAUAAUGAUGAUGAUAAAACAACUAAGAAAAACUCUGAUUUUUAGAUUACUACAGAGAAAUCUGAUACAGUUAGUUCUAACAUCAGUUUUGAUGUAACUUUUAAACUGGUCAGUCUUCUAAACAGAAUUUCCUCGAAACACACUUUAUUAUUAAAUCCUGCAAUUUCAACUGAAGUCAGUCUGUAGGAUAAUCAUCUAUAAUACUACUACUUAUAAAAAAUAACAGUGACUUUAUAGUAGUGGUUCUUCACACUGGUUGUCACUUUAUAAACAGAGGAAAGCAAAUGAGUUAGCGUUAGCAUGCCUCUGAAAAAUGAUCAGAUGCUUAAAAAACGGAUAUUUAAAGACUUUCUGCGAAUCAAAAAAAAAAAAAAAAUUUAGAGUUUUUGCCUCUUCAGGUUGCUAACCCAUUAAACACUUGCGCUUUCUUACCAUUUGUUUAACUGUUUUCAUUCCACUCAAUAAUUAAUAAUCUGCUUAAAAGAGUGCAAUUCAGAAUAAAGCCAUGGCUUUACAGUACAGGAAAUAAAGCAACCUAUACACAAGAAAAGAUAUUCAAAUAAAGCAUGACACACCACUGUCUAAUGAAGUGAACAUUUGAACAUCAUUAGAAAUGGAUGAUGACACUUAAGUUCAUCUGUGUUUUCCUUUCAGUGACUGGCCGCUUUAAAUGCAAUGAAUGAAAGGAGGAGAGGUGAUUAUAGUUGCCACAAAAGAAUUGAUAUUGAUGAUCUAACCUUGAUGAAUUGAGGAUCAGACUUAUCAUACAUCACUAGUGCUUCUUGUCCUUGAAGGCUUCAUCACUUCCCUCCAUUGGCAAUGCUGCUGCAUGUUAUUCCUCCAUUGUUCCCAGAUGUGCUAGCCAGUGUUUGCUUGCACUCAUGUGAGUACAAAGCAUCUGUAGAAAACUGCAGCAAUGGUUAAGUGUCAUGUCUGAAAAUAGCCUGCCCAAAGUUAUCGAUGUGUAGAAAUAUUAAGGGAAGUCAAAGAGGAGGCUCCCUUGUUCACCCCUUUUGUUGUUGUAGCGAUGAUAACCUUAGAGAACAUGGGGCUCCUGUAAUGCAUCACAAGUUUGAUCCCCCAAUUUAUUUUACCGUUAAGAUGCAAAAGAAUUUCAUUUAAUCCAUGCAAAUUCUUUUGCACACAACAACCACACUUAACAGAUCUCAUUUAAGAUGUGAGUUUGAUCAUAUUUAAGAAAAUCACAGGUUUGUUGCAAUUUAAAUUAUUAAAAGUUUGCAUCCUCCUCUGUGCUGUUCCUGUUUUGUCUGAAAUAGCAAAAUGUGUAACACACUGAUUUUAGUUUGGUGGAAUGAUGUCUUUUCGGUGGCAGAUAUGUGGCCUUGAGCUGAAAACACCUUUUCAUAAUCAGAGAACAGACUGUACACGAUUAGCCAAGCACAUAGCCUUGAAAUCCGGCAUUUUGGCAGUGUGUUAGUGUGUGGUAAUGCGUGUGUGUGUGUAUGUGUGUGUGUGUGUGUGUGUGAGUCAGUGUGUGUGUGUGUGUGUGUGUGUGUGUGUGUGUAGCAUGCGUUCAGUUGAUCCAAUAGCCUGCACAAUAGCAUGGCUUCAGGCCUUGGACAACGAGAGUGAUAUGGCUCUUUGGUGAACACACACACAUACUCCACUCGCAUGCGCACGCACGCACGCACGCACGCACACACACACACACACACACACACACCAACAAACACACUAAAACGGAUACCUUAAACAGCAUGACCGUACCUUCUUUCUUUACUGUGGUGAGAGGAGAAAAGAGUGUAUGUUGGUAUGUGUGUGUGUGUGUGUGUGUGUGUGUGUGUGUGUGUGUGUGUGUGUGUGUGUGUGUGUGUGUGAAUUAAAGUCAUGGGUUUCAAGCGAAGCUGAUUGGUUAGCAUGGUUGCCACCUUCACAGUGACAGUGUGACUAAACAAUUAGCGAAGGGACACAUCUGUCCAGCAGAAGUUGAAGUUCAAUAUACUAACACUGAAGUUUGAAAUGACAUCUAAUGAUACAUUAAAGAGCAGAGGAGCUGUUGAAGUCAGAGAACGGAUGACUUUAAUGAAACUCAAGUGCUAAAUGUUAAAAAAGGUGAAAUGACUCCACUCGUUACAGUCAGAUUAGAUCUUUAAAUUACCUGACCUAGUUUACAAAUAUACUGCCAAGUUUCUUUAAACAUUUUCAAGUGAAGUCAAUGUCUAACACUUGCCUGAAACCUUUGGAGCAGUUUUCACCCUUGUUCCUGCAUGAAUGGAUGCUGUGUCCUCCUAAGCUUGUGACGGUUUUGAAUUCAGACGUGAGUAUCUGACAUGUUUUCUUUAGUGAGCUGCUUGAAAGAAAUCUCAAAUUAGAUUUUUACAGAACAGUAUUCUAGCUUGCACAAGUUUUAGCUCCCAGUUAUUUGAUGCUGAUUCCGUGGCAUUAACAAGGAAUCACUUGAUGUCAGUAUUUUAGAAAAACUGCACUGAAUAUACUUUUUUCCCCAUGCACUGUGGGAUAUUUCUUUGUAACCAACAGUUAUUCUAUGGAGAAAUCAACACUGUGUGUGACAGAUUAAGCACUUUGCAGGUGAAUACAUAUACUUGUUUUUAAAGCAUUUUCCACUGACAGGAAUCACAAAGUGCUUAACAAAAAAAAAAAAAAAAGGGGGGGGGGGGGGGGCAAAAAGUAAAGAACUGAAGUGUCUCAUGUAAGUCACAGUUUCAGACCAUAACGGUGCAACAUUUUAUUUAAAUAAAAAAGCUAAAAGUCAAGUCCACAGAGCACUUUUCAUUGCAUUCAUUCAAUUUAAGCUCAAAACAAUGAUAGCAAAAGUUUUACAUUGUUGGAUGCAAUCAUGUAAUUUUAAUCAUGCUAUUAAAAAUAUGAUAAAUUGAAAAUCUGCAAUUGCUUGAAGUUAAAAGCAUUUCCUGUUUUACAACCAUUAAAAAACUGCAACAUUUUAUAUAUAAAUAUAAAUAUAUAUAUUUAUUUAUUUAUUCAUUUUUUCAGAAAUUUGUUAAAAAAAAGAGACUUGGUUGCACAAAAGUUUGGAAAACAAAUAAAAUCCAAAUUUGGCUGAGCUUCUGUGAGUACUUUGGAUUAAUACAUGGCAGUGUAAAUAUUCCAGGAAGUGGUGUGUCUUUGGAGCAAUGUUUAUCUAUCAAACCUGCUGUCACAGAAAACUUGAAACAAACAGUCACUUUUUAAAAACCACAAUUGGUACUGAUGAUCAUUUUUGUUUACUUAAAUCACGGAUGCAAUUUUCUUUAAUGCUUUUGGCAUGAGAGACACAUUAUCAUUAUUUGGCAUAAUUUUGCAAGUACAGUAAAAAUAAAGUAUGUUGAGCAGUGGCCAAUACUUGGGUAGAAGUAGAGAUUAAUCUUUGGUUACAGGAAUUUAAGAUGUUGUUCAUUCAGGACAGCAUUUCUUCUAAUGCAUUAAAAAAGUUGAAAAACACUGAUUUAUUUGAUUGAAAUUCAGAAUUAUAUUAAAUUUAUAAAAUAUAGCAGCAAUAUAUCAGAUGAGAUUGAAAGAGCGUAAAACAACAUAACUACAAGCAAAAAUAACAGCAAUCAUGUGGUGUCCUGUCUCCAAUGCUCCUCAUGCAAAAAGGUCACUUAUUGUUGUGUUAAAGCUUAAUCAUCUCUGCUUAUAUUCAACUGAAUGAAGUUUUAAGCUCAGAGGGGACAGAGCGUUUGCUGCUGCUGCCCCUAAGCUCUGGAAUGAGUUGCCCUUGAAAAUUAGACAGGCCUCCUCAUUUCCUGUUUUUAAAUCCCUUUUAAAAACGCACUUUUACUCAUUGGCUUUUAGUACAUUGUAGUGUUAAUUUGUUUUUUAUCAUCUUAGCACUUGCUGUGAGCCUCCUUAUUUAUACACUUAUUUAUUAUUUUCCAUUAAUGUAUUUCUGCUUGCUUUAUCUUGUUCUUUGAUUGUUUUAUUUGUUUUUAUGUGUCAUUGUACAGCACUUUGGCUACCCUUGUGGUUCUUUUAAAUGUGCUAUAGAAAUAAAGUUGAUUGAUUGAUUGAUUGAUUGAUUAAGGCCAUAUUCAGUGAGCCCCAAAAACUCGAGCAAACAAUCACUAACUGAAAACUUUUCAGCCUCAUAACAGCCUGUGAGGCAUUUCAGCAGCCUGAAAAGCUCUGAAACACUUUCAAACUGCCGCCUGUGUUACAUCCUUUGUUUUUGUGUGACUUCGGUGCUGUGCACCUCUCCAAACUUGUCCCAAGGUCUCUGAAUAGAACUAAUCAUGAUGCAAAACUAACUUUUUCCUCGUGUUGCAGCACGGUUUAAUGGAGCGUACAAGCCUAAAAAUACUGGACUGCAACCAGGUCGGCAUGUGUUGGCAUUGCAGGGAAGAUGGACUCCAGUCGUGAAAAGGAAUGGAGGAGCUGUCUUUGUAACGUCUGGGACCCUGAGCCAAGCCAUUUGACAGUCGCAGUGUUUAAAAAAUGGCAUGUGGGGUGGGUGUCUAAAAUGCCCCCCACAGCGGGGAUCCUUUGAAACAAUUACUAUAAAUGUACGGCAGGAGCACUUUCCUCUCCAUACGACAUUUUUAUAACUUCGCCAAUGAAGUUUGAAUCGAGCCAACUAAUUUGUCUGGCAAAUUAGCUUUAGCAUGUCUCGCAGCAUGAUUCAACGCUUACAACAAUUGGAGUCCAAUUGUUUUUUUGCAUUUGUGCGUCUGGCGUCAUGAUAGAUAGCUCGCCUGAAAAUGGGGAAGCACCACUUUAGCUAUCAAAUUAAAUGGUUUUUAAUCAGUUGGUGUUUUUAAUGGCGGCUUGAUGCGGGUUCAGUUGUGCUCAACAUCGACAAUAGAGGCAAACAAAUGCGACAGCUUUCUAAUUGAAAGUGCUGUGAUACCUCAGUUAAAUAGUGGUGUUAUGAUUGUGUUAUUUUGGUUUGUUCACACGCUUAGUUUGAUAAUCAUGUUUUUUGUUUCUAGAGGGACUUUGGAAUUGGUUUGUGAUCAUCUUAAUGGGCAUAUUUUUGUGAGAGCGUAUCGGUGUAUGUGUGGAGGAGACAAUUGUGUGUGCCAAAGUGAACAAAACAAAAAGAAAGAUACACAGAGCUCGCAGAGUUUGCAAAAAGUCAGACAAAAAAUAACUUGGACCAACUUCAUGUGAGAUACAUAGUAUUUAAGCUAGUGGAGUGGCGUGGUUGUACUUGUUUGGCAUUGUUCGAAUUAACAUGCAAUUCAAAACACAAAACUGGUGCAUGGACUUCUUUAUUUCUUUUUUUUUCUUCUUCUACAGAAACCAUCAUACAAGAAACAAAUGGACAAGUUAAUCCAUACAUGAAUACUCCGAGGAACAUUCUUUGGCUUGUAAGAGCCAACAUAAAAGCAUGCACACAAAGGAAUCAGGUGCAAAAAGCCCAUAACAUAAGCUCCACACUGCUACCUCUGAAACACACCUCCAUCAGAUAUCAGAAUCCACACCAUGAUCUGAAUAUGAAGAGCUCAGAGUCAGUCCUGGAGGACUUCUUGGAUGUGUAAUGAAGUGAAAUAUGAUUAUUAUUACAGGCUCUCUGUCUGUCUCUCCUCUCUCCGGCUCCCCACUCAAACCGAGCUGCAAGCUGAGGAGACAAAUUCAUUCUUUCUGGGUCAGAAAUGAGAGAAAUGGUUGAUUGUGUAAAUAAUGGAUCAUGUCCUCGUCUCCCAGCUGUCUGAAUGGAUUUAGAUUAACUUCCAACUGAUGGUAAUGUGAUGAGUGUAAGAAGCAGGCAGCUGACAAAUUAGCACACACACACACACACACACACACACACACACACACACACACACACACACACACACACACACACACACACACACACACACAUGCAUGCAUACUGAUAGGAAGGCUCGGGUACACCUCGUAUGAAUGUGCACAUAUAUUUAGAUAUCAAUCUUUUCAACAUAUUCAGUUGUUUUUUAACUUGCAGCAGCUGUAAGCUAGGGAGGAACACAUCCAUCCUCUUUCACUUAUAAUGACAACAAAAACAGAGAGAGGGGUGUUGUAACUGUGAAAUAAAUAGGUUUUUGUGGAAAUCUGUUUCCACAUGCUGCAAAGAAACUGCUCAGAUUUCCUCCGUUUGUCUGGGUUGUUGCUGCUCUCUUAAUGGCAAAAAUCAGUUGUCUGUUUUAAUUGUUAAAUUUAUCCUUUUGAUAAGAGAAAUGAAAAUCAAACCUGUUUUUACUGUAUUUUUACAUUUUCUCUUUGUGAAAAUAUGUAUUCCUCAUAAAUGGUCACAUCAGUUAUUUCAAUUAUCUAACAGUGAAGAAAAAUGUCAUAAAAACAGUCUGUAAACAACUUUGAAAGCAAAAAUCACCACAAUCAAACAGAUGUGAGGUGAAAUCAUUUUUUUUUAUUUCCCUUAAAGUAAAUUUCAAAUAAAGACUAAAAGAAAAAGAUUAGAGAGGAUCAUUUUUAUCGCUUCGCGAGUUUAAUUUUAACAUGAUUAUUGUUAUAAUAAAAUUAAGAUACUAGGGCUAUAAAUAAACCUUAAAACAGCACAUAACUGAUUUUAUUCCAUUUAAAUAAAUAAUCUCUACAGAAACAUUUUAUGUUCUUUGAAGUGCAUGUGAAACCACAGGGCAGGUGGACUAAGUAUGGGUUAUCUGCACUACUGUUACAUUUAAAAUAAAUCAAGAGCAGCUAAAUAGGUUCAUAAAUUCCCCUCACAGCUCGUUCAGGCUUUUGAUAUGAACAUUUUUAAUACGAGUAACCACAGCUCAUCAAGUUGAUUGCAGAGCAAACAUUUGAAUGAUAAUAAAUAAAGAGAUUUUUAUACUUACUCACACAGACACACACAGACACUCCUCAGCUGCAGGCCAGAACACAACAAUACAAUUUUAUUGUCAUUGCACUGAUGGGCAAGAACAACAAUACGCGACUACGAUGGUAUUCUGGGAACAUUCCAGCUCUGAGUCAGAUGUUUUUAUGUUUUUAUUUUUAUUUCAGACAUUUUAAAUGGGACACAUUUUUAGGGGUUAAGAGAAAUAUAAAACAGCAGAUUGGAAAGGAGAGAAUCUGUAUGGCUCCGACUGUGGUUCAUAAAAAUGUGGAAUUUGAAAACAGUAUUUAAUGAGUUUUCUCCAGUGAAUCAUGUCCCUCAUUACGCUUGUAUUCUUUUGAUUUUAGUCCUUCAUAGUCUCUAAUAUUUUAUCUCUCUUUCAGUUUUUGUUUUAAAAAAGAAAAUCCAUUUUUUUUAAUAUUUGAGAUUUCUCACCGUCAGACUUUUGAAGUCUCGUGGAGUUUACGUUUGUGUGUAAAAAGUAAUUUCAAGAAACUACGUUUAGUAAGAUUUUUUUUUUUUUUUUAAUGUUCAGGAUCUCAAGCCAAAUGAUGAUUACUUACACAGUUUGAAAUUAUUCUUAUGAGUUCUUAAAUCGAGUAUAAAGUGAUUGAAUUUCCUGGCCUGAUUGAGUGCAAGGGAGAGAGUUUUCUUGUAUUUUUUUUUUCUUUUCCAGCAGAACUCUUAAAUAUUCAUCUAUCACUCUUAAAUAUCCAUCUGUCACUUUGUGACUGGCACUACUGUGCAGAGCGUUAUAAUUGGAAAGUAGCAGGUGAACAUGAUACCACAUUUUUGAGUCAUAAAGAAAGAUCCAGUACCAUGGAAAUCAUUUUUAAACGAAGGUCACUCCACAUCUGCUUGUCAGGCACCUAGUGCAGAUUGUAUCAGCAAAGGGGAAAAGUGUAAGCUUACAUUAGUGUGCAGAUGUUUAGCUUGCUGUAGUAGAUAGGACACCAUCAAACAACCAUGAAGACGGGGACUCUAAGCUCCUUGGUGUUUGGUUAUGAACUGAAAGAAGACAUAUUCAUCAGUUAGUUUUUCUUUGUUCCACAGCCUUUAGUUGACUCUCUUCCAAGUGUGUGUGUGUGUGUGUGUGUGUGUGUGUGUGUGUGUGUGUGUGUGUGUGUGUGUGUGUGUGUGUGUGUGUGUGUGCAAAGAGGGGUGGUUCACGGCCAUGCUGCCUUCGACACUAAAUCAAUAAAUCUCCACAUGUGAAAGUAAAGCUUGCAGAAACAACUUAGGGGCAAAACUGUGAACCCUGUCUGAUGGGUUCAGAGUAGCUGGUCUUUAGGUGACAGAGGCUCUUUAAGCAGCUGAAUGGUCGAAGGUUUGGAGGUGCGAGUUAGCUGUGCAAAUCAAUACUCCAUCAUAACUCAGAGAGAACCUCCAACAAGCAGCGGCCUCCCUCCAAACUCUCAUGAAGUGAGGCAGUAAUGUGUGUUUCCUCGAGUUCUUUUUUACUGAUGAAAUGAAGCAGCACGCAGUCCUUCACAGGAGCAAGAGGAGUCAUAAAAAAUAAAGUAAAAACCUUAUUCCUCCAUUUGUGGAGGUCUUUUUUUCUUUUAUUCUUUUUUAGUAGGAAUUCACAAAACUAUUUUGUAGAACAAGAUUUAAAAGCGACUGAUGGACCAGAAUCAGGAACAGUGGAAAGAUUCAUCUGUGUAUCCAGUGUGCAAAGUUGGAUUUUUGCAGUCAUGCAGUUCGAUUACAAAAAAUGUUGUCUUGCUUUGACUCAGUGUUUAAUAAGAUACGAAAGUAUUUAUUAUAUUAUUUAGUCUGUCAUUUAUGUUUGUAGUAGGUAACUUUUUUUUUUUUUUUUUUUGCAUAGAAAUUACUUGUGGUCAGCCAAAAUCAGUUUUUGAAUGUUCAGUGUUAUGUUCAGCUGGCUGAUAGAAAAUGAUGAUAUAAUGUUGUGUUGCUGUGAUUUUGUAUUAAAUAGAGUGAUUUCAUAAGAACUGAGAAACAGAAUUGCAAUAAUAGAAUAAACUUUUAGUUAAGUUGUCUCAGAAAGAUAUUGCUAUAUAUGGACUUAGCUGAGGCUUUAUGGAUAAAACUGCCUGACAUAGUUAUUUAAUAUCCUCUCACAUUUACAAUUAAGUCCUGAUCCUGUUCUAAUGAGUUAUUGGUAAAUGGGCAUUAUGAAACUGCAUUAGUCCGUAUUACAUAACAGAUGAUUUUUUAUAGAACCCUAGCCAGUGGCUGUUUAAGAUUUGAUCAUCAUGAAGUGAACAUGUGAUCAUUCAGAAAGAUCAAAGGUUACCAAGGAAGGUCUGACAAAGUGAAUGGGGACUCAAAACCCUUUUUCACAACCUUUGUAUUAUUAUUAUAAUUAUUAUUAUUAUAAUUAUUAUUAUUAUUAUUAUUAUUAUUAUUAUUAUUAUUAUUAUUAUUAUUAUUAUUAUUAUUAUCAUUGUUGUUGUUGUUGUUAUUAUUAUUAUUGCUGUUGUUAUUAUUAUUAUUAUUAUCAUCAUCAUCAUCAUCAUCAUCAUUAUUAUUAUUAUUAUUAUUAUUGUAGUUGUUGUUAUAUUAGAUUAUUUUAUAUAUAUAAAUACACUACAGGCCAAAAGUUUGGAAGCAAGGCCAUUACAGGCCGAACAGUUGGGAGUAACUUCAAGUUUUUGUUCACAAUGCUUUUUUUUUAAAUCCAGCAUGAGUUGUAUGUAUUUUGGGAUGUAUUUACUCCAUGAUCAGAUGUUGCUUUCAUGGAAAUGCACCAUUUUAAUCACUUUACCUUUUGAUAUACAUUGAUGUUAACAGACCAUUGCUAAAUAUAUGUGAGCAAAAGAAAAGAGCUUAGUUUUAGAGUUGAAAACAUAUGCAAGAGUCACAACUUCAGUGCAAAAGCAAAAAAACAAAUCACAGUUGGAUUAUUCACUUAAACUUUUUGGCUUUUGAGAGCCUGCAUACAAAAAUCCGAAUAAAUCUCAACUUCGUUCAAACUACCACAAAAAUGGCUAGAAAGAAGCAACUGGGUUAAGAAACAAAAGUACAGACUUGUACAUUGAGGAAAGAAGGAUACACGGAAAGAGAAAUUGCAAAACGCCUAAAGGUGUUUAACAAAGGAGUUCACUACACUCUGAAGAGACAAGAGGAACCUGGAAGUUAUGAUGAUAGAAAAAGGCCGAAAUGAAAGAGAGUUACUACAAAAGCAGAGGAUAAACAUAGCAUUGUCAUCAGUAAAAGAGAUCGGCGAAAGACAGCACCACGAAUAAGGGAGGAAAUCAACAUAACAAGGUCAAAACCUAUAUCUCUGACAACUGUGAAAAGACGUUUGAGAAAGGCUGGUCUGAAGGGUUGUGUAACUGCAAAAAGACACUACUUCGUCCACAGAAUAAGAAACAAAGAUAUGAGUGGGCAAAAGCUCACAAAAAUUGGACCUAUGAUGACUGGAAACAAGUUCUCUGGACUGAUGAAAACAAGUUUGAACUGUUUGGUUCAAAAUGCAGAGUCUAUGUCUGCAGACAAACUGGUGAACGUCUGAAAGCACCAUGUGUUACACCCACAAUUAAGCAAGGAGGUGAUAGUUCCAUGGUAUGGGGAUGUUUUGCAGGUGAUGGAGUAGGAGAUUUUUUUGAAGUAAAGGGUAUCAUGAAGAAGGAACAGUACCACUCCAGCACCAUGCUGUUCCAUCUGGACUCCGACUUGUGGGUCAUAAGUUUAUUUUGCAGCAAGACAAUGGCCCUGAGUAUUCUGCCGAGCUCUGUCAGGGUUACUUAGACAAAAAAAAAAAAAAAUAGGGAGGUGUUCUUCAAAAGAUGGUUUGGCCCCCUCAGUCAGAGCUUGUGUGGGAUGAAUUGGAUCUCUCAGUCAGAAAAGCACGUCCCAUGAAUCAGCAGUCUCCUUUUAAUAAACUUAAGAAAGCUUGAAAUGCAAUCCCUGGAACAUACCUAAGAAAACUUGUGGAACGAAUGCCUCAUAUAUGCCAGCUUUUGUUAAAGCCAGAGGAGGUUACUCUAAAGAAAGCAAAGUCUAAGCAACAAUAACUCAAAUACUUAAUAAUUAUAGUCAAAGUGUCUUCUGAUAAGUUACUCUUUAAACAAUAGUCAUGUUUAUUGUGUUGCAAAUUAUAUUAAUGAAACUAUGGUCUUUUUUUGUAUAAAUCUGAUCUUGCUUCCAAACUUUUGGCCUGUAGUGUAUAUAUAAUCUUUUCUCAGUCAGCAGACAAGGUUUUUUUUUAAUUGUUUGUGUGUGUCCCCGUGAAUCCUGAGAUCUUACACAGUGAUUUUUUUAAGGACAUUUAAGAUAAUGUAUGUUAAAAAACCAACAAACUCAAUGAUAAAUGCAAAGAGAGAGAGGAUUUUUAAUCAGGCUUGCUGUUGUAAUGGAAAUAAAGCAUGUGCAUAAGUCUGACAUGUAACAAUCCAUGUGGUAUAAGAAACAACGCUGCACUGAUGUUUUUAGUUAAACAGCUCACAAGACAAAUGGCUGACCACGAGUACUGACCACAUUAGCUUGAGCCACCUCACAGCUUCAAAAAGACGUGCUGAGUCAGCAGAGAGCCUGAGGUGUGUACAGAAAGACAGGAGGUCCUGCCCCGUGGUGUUAAUUCUGGCAAAUUUUUUUCUGCUUGUGAUGUUGUGUCAAUGUUAGUGCCAAAAGAUGUGAAUUUAUGCACAACAGGAGUGGUUCCCUUCACGCCAUUUCAGUCUGUUUCUAUUCAACCUGGUUGAGGUUGACUACAUCAUGAGGAUUUAUUGUGACUGACCAUUCCUGCUUCAAUGUUACAAACAGGUUGUUAUGUAAAGCUCAGCUCAGGCCAAAACACAGCGGGCUCUAUUUUCGUGCCUCGCCGGCGACGCGGUGCAUGCACGGCGUAAGUGAGGUCCGCCGCGCCGACAAGGCGUUCCCAAGCACAAUUUGGUAUUUUGGUGAGCGGUGCAGCCCGGCGAAAGUAUCCCCCCUCCCUAACUCAGCUCCUCCCAGCGGCGUAAGUCGUAGCGAGGGAGGAGAGAGGGCGGGUAGUGGGUUUAACACAGCCGAGACCUGUUUUCACCAAUCACAUCAGCUCCUCUCCUUGCCUUUAAAUCCGCCACCGGUGAGGCAUAUUACAAUUUUCAUGAAGUAGUCAAGGAGAUCAAGAGAUGUCUGAAGACAGUUAUGCCACACAAUGGCGACAAAGGGCAGCUCCUCAACAAGUGUUAAUGUAAGCGCUGCAUUGGGCGUCCUCCACACCCUCUCAUAUGAGCACAGAUGGAUUUGGUGUGUGUAAUGUUGGACCCACUGGUAAGACAAACACCCUUUUCCACAGAUAAAGACACUCACAUAAAGUUGCUCAUAUUCAAACCUCACGUGACAAAAGUGGGUUGAGCGCACAGAUCACAACAUAAAUUCCAAUAAUGGCAUUAAAAUCGGAGCUAUCUGUGCGUAAAUGACGCAUCGCGCUCUGUGGCCUGGCUGUUUCUUUCAUAGAUGUUGGCAUAUAAAAUCAAUUUGGCUCACAAAACUGAAUAUUAUAAUAUCCGUAUGUCGGCUUAAAGUAGAUAACUCAUCUGAGCACUGAAACAAAUCAUCUGUUCAGCCGCUGCAGCAGCAGGACAGAGAGAGGACACGGAGACGUGUCCAGGUCGAGCUGUGCGAGAAAUAAGAGGAAGAGGAAGAAAGAAAAGGAGGGAGACGAAUUACAUAUCUUGUUAACUUCAUUAUGUGUGUUUAUUUACUAGAUAUUUAAUUUAAUUUAAUGUGGUUUCAGCUGUGUUGAUUCGGUCAGGUUGUGUGUCCAAACGCAUGCCAAACGCGCUCAUCAGAUCAGAUAUACAGUGAGUCCAAGAAGUAUUUGAUCCCUUGCUGAUUUUCUUCGUUUGCCCACUAAUAAAGAUGUGAUCAUUCUGCACAUUUAAUGGUGGAUGCAUUCUAACAUGGAGAGACAGAAUAUCAAAAAGAAAAUCCUGAAAAAAAUCUAAGGAAUAUAUAUUAAUUGAUUUGUAUUUCAUUGAGGGAAAUAAGUAUUUGAUCCCUCAGUAUGCAUUAGGAGUUCUGCCUUUCACAGACCAGUUAGACACUCCCAAUCAGCUUGUUACUUGAACUGAAGCCACCUGUUCUCACUAAUCACUUGUGUGAAAAACACCUGUUCACAGAAUCAGACAAUCUGACAGAUUUCAAGUCUCCAACAUGGGUAAGACCAAAGAGCUGUCUCAGGACCUCAGAGUCAGGAUUGUUGACCUCCACAAAGCUGGAAUGGGCUACAAAAAGAUUAGCAAGGUGUUGGAUGUGAAAGUAACAACUAUUGGUGCAAUUGUUAGAAAAUUUAAAGAGUAUAACAUGACCAUCAACAGACCUCGGCCCGGUGCUCCAAAGAAGAUUUCACCUCGUGGGGUGACAAUGCUCCUGAGAACGGUCAGAAAUCAUCCUGCAACCACUCGUCAGGAGUUGGUAAAUGACCUGAAGGCAGCUGGGACCACAGUUUGCAAGGAAACAAUUGGCAACACUUUGCGCAACAAUGGAUUAACAUCCUGCAGUGCCCGAAAGGUACCCCUGCUCAAGAAGGCACAUGUGGAGGCGCGCCUUAAGUAUGCCAAUGAUCACCUGAAAGAUGAACCGAGUUAUUGGGAGAAGGUUCUGUGGUCAGACGAGACCAAAAUUGAACUUUUUGGCCUCAACUCUACCCGCCAUGUGUGGAGGAAGAAAAAUGCUGCCUAUGACCCCAAGAACACUGUGCCCACCGUCAAGCAUGGAGGUGGAAGCAUAAUGUUUUGGGGGUGUUUCUCUGCCAAGGGUACAGGGCUACUUCACCGCAUCACUGGGAAGAUGGAUGGAGCCAUGUACCGUACAAUCCUGAGGGACAACCUCCUCCCCUCUGCCAGGAAGCUGAAAAUGGGCCGUGGUUGGGUCUUCCAACAUGAUAACGACCCGAAACACACAGCAAAGGCAACAAAGGAUUGGCUCAAGAAGAAUCACAUGAAGUUCAUGGAGUGGCCCAGCCAGUCUCCGGACCUCAAUCCGAUUGAGAAUCUAUGGAGGGAGCUGAAGGUCAGAGUUGCCAAGCGACAGCCCACCAACCUUCCUGAUUUAGAGAGGAUCUGCAAAGAAGAGUGGGCCAAAAUUCCCCCUGGUGUGUGUGCUAAACUUGUGGUUAACUACAACAAACGUCUCACUGCUGUGCUUGCUAACAAAGGCUUUGCCACUAAGUAUUGAGUGUGUUUGGCUAGAGGGAUCAAAUACUUAUUUCCCUCAAUGAAAUACAAAUUAAUUAAAAUAUAUUCUUUAAAGUUAUAUUCUGGAUUUUUGUCUUGAUAUUCUGUCUCUCCAUGUUAGAAUACAUCUACCAUUAAACGUGCAGCAAGGGAUCAAAUACUUCUUGGACUCACUGUAGAUCAGAAUAUAUCGAUAUAGAUCUAAAUAUAUGUGCUGACUCAGAUUAAUAGUUGAUGAUUAUUUAUUGCACUGAAAUGUUCCUGACACUGUGGAAACCUGCCGGUGAGGCAUCGGUGACGUAUGCCGAUACGCCGCCGGUCUACCAAAAUACCACUAGACCAGCUGCGUUCCGCCUGCGAUGAAACUGACCAGGUUUGAAUCUGCAAGCUUUGACAACCUUUACACGCCGGUGGCGACCACGAAAAUGUCACUGCGCCCGCUGAUUCUGUCGACACCUCCCCCUGCCACGCCACCACGCCAAGCUUGGCGGAUCUCGGCUCGCCUCCGUACGCCUCAGUCCAUGAAAAUACCAAACUGGCCAUACGCCGGGCUGCGCCAGACGAAAAUACAACUGCGCGGGGCUCGCCGCCCUCCGCCGCCUCACGGGCGUACACGAAAAGGGCUUUAGGCAGCUCCUUCAGCAGCAGACUGAGACUCCCACCCUGCAGGACGGAGCGCUACCGCAGAUCAUUCCUCCCCUCUGCAAUAAGACUUUACAAUGAACAGUAACAAAACUGGAUUUACACCACCACCACUUUUUUUCUGGCAUUUAAAUUGUGUAUAUCGUAGAAAGCUUUAUUUUUUCUUUCUCCCUUUUCUAAUUUUUUUCUUAAUUAUUACAUUUAUUUAAGUUCUUAAUAUUAGGACCCUUAUUGUUAUAACUGCAUUUUUGCACUCUUUGUCUUGUCUGUGAUGCUGCUGUGACAAAAAAAUUUCCCCCAUGGGGGAUCAAUAAAGGAAUAUUCUAUUCUAUUCUAUUCUAUUCUAAAAUAGAGCCCAGCGUCUUUGGCAUCUCAGAGCCUGAGUGUUGGAGUGACUCGAGCACUCCAACACAUAAAUAUGUAGUGCUCAUAGCAGCCGAUAGAGGUGUUUAUCUAUUUACUCUGCAGUCAGUGACUACAGUCUGUGUUAUGGUGAGUUAGCAACAUCAGGAACUUUGAAAGUUUUAUAUUGACCGCCCAUCCUGCAUUGCAGCUCGGGGUAGUGCAGCCUUUACCCUGUGUCUUCCGGAGUAUUUUGAUUCUGUUUAACAGCUUGCAAUAAGCCACGGUCGUGUCAUUUUCCUCAGAUUUCAAAGUCAAAAUCAGUAUACUAGCUCUGAGGCCUGUACUACGAAGCUGGAUUAACACAUCCAGGAUAACUCUGCGACAACUCGUUAAACUUCACCGGAUCUCCGCGAUCCCGAUCAGCUGUACUACGAAGCAGGAUAUCAACUCGAUAACUGAAUCCAGUUCAGAUCUGUGCGCGCACACGUAAAGGGGGUCGGGUCAGUGCCACCGGACCAAUCGCCACAAUGGAGAAGGCUGCACGUCAUUUUUCACAGCUGAAGAACAGAGCUUUAUUUAAACAGUGAGACAGACACAGCCGCUAAAAGCCGGAGGGACUGCCGGCAAAAAAAAUCACCGCUUGUGUAAAUUACAUUUGUGUGUUCAUAAAUUUAUGGCCCCCUAAUAUGUUGUCAUGCAGCGUGUGUGAUCACCACCAUCACUGACCUCAUUAUUUCAGAUACAACAGCAGUGGGGAAAAGAGUACGUGGGAACAAAUAAAAAUAAAUCUAAAAACAUCCUUUAAAGUAGUUUGUAAGUUUAUUGGAAGAUUUUAUUUGUACAUAUUUCAACGCGUAAACAGUGAUUUCCUCACACUGCCUUUUUUUUUUCUCCAUCAUCUGAUGGUCACGUCAUCUGCACACAUUUGGGGUUAAGAGUUUUCUAAUCUGCUUCAAUGAAUUCUGAAUGAUGACUAACAAAUUUGAACCUGGAGCUUGGCAAAUAUUAGUGCAUUGCUUAGACUUCAUGCUGCCCGAAUAUUGAGGCCGUCCGAGGAAAACCUGUAACGUUCAUAGAGAACGUCAUCAGGUAAAUCAAACGGAUUUGAACGAUCAUGAAUAUAACGCUCUCGGCGAAGCGCUCCUCUCACUAUCCGUGCAACGAUGUCCCCGGGAUCCGGCAAAAGUGGGCAAGCCAUUUUCCAAGAGAUCCGAUUGGUCAGUGGGCGGUUUUUUAUACCUGCUGAGCUCUUAUCCUGAAACAUAACCUGCUCCGGAGCAGGUUUGGCGUUCCGCGUAAGUUACCGGGGCAACGGACCCGGAUAAAAAGAGAUCCACCUUCGUAGUACGGAAAACCCAGAAGUUACCUCGCUAAGACCAAAUCCAGCUUCGUAGUACAGGCCUCAGAUCAUGUUCACACAGUUUUUAUUAACCAGGUGUCCAAAUGUGCAUGUCCACACCGUAUUCCGAACAUUGUUGCCACAGUUACUUUUACAAAGUAAUUUGAUGAUGACUGAUUACUCCUCUAAAAAGUAACUGUUACUUGACUGAUUAUUUGAUUUUAAAAGUAACUUAGUCAGAUUACAAGUAACUUUUUAAGAUACAUUCAGCAGCCUCAACAUGUUUGACAACCAUUUUAACCACUUUAAUAUUGUUAGCUGACACAAAGUCAAAAUAGUGGCUGUAUUUCUAGCUUGACAAUGCGCAUCUUUCUCCUCCCUCCAUUGUUGUUUAUGUUCGUUUGGCCGUGGUUGUUUUAUGUGUGUGCACAUGUGUUAAAUGUGAGCGGUCCUCUUGCUGAAAACAUGACUUGUUGCCUAUUGACUGAUGUCAUUCCCCCCAGAUGAAAACAUUUUUUUGGUGUUUUUGUUUUUUAAAGAAAAUGACAAAAAAGUAAUGCACACAGUUACUUGGAUAUGUAACUUAAAUUUAAUCACUGGUUUGGAAAUAGCAACGUGUUAGAUGACUUGUUACUGAAAAAAUGUGGAUUUAUUAUAGUAGCACGUUACUGAGAAACGCGUUACUGGCAUCACUGAUUCUGAAUAUGAUCAAGUAAAACUCAUGACCAUGAUUUUCAGAUCCUUGUAAGCACACUCAUUAUCUGCACUUUGUCCAGCUAUGUGUGUGUGUGUGUGUGUGUGUGUGUGUGUGUCAGUCUUCCUUACCAUCUUUGUUUUUAUUUACUCUUUAGACCCGAUCUGUGAUGAUGUCUACGUAACUUCUUCGUGUGUUAUAAAAUGAUCAAUCCCGUUUUGUUUCCAGCUCUGUUUCCAACCUUUUACCUUCCACACCUCUCUCCAGCUUUACUCAAUCAGGUUCUGACACAAUGAGGCUGCUCCUCCAUGUUCUCCACAACAGCUUCAAACAUUUACAUCCAGCAUGUUUGCAUCGUGUUCAUGCACAUGGUUCACCUCUUGCACUUUAAUCACACCUAAUCACUCUUUACUUCAAACACAACCUGCACUGGGAGGACUCAGACAUUACAAGAUUACAAAUCAGCGGAGUGUGCAACACUUUAAAGGCGUCACUCUUCGCUGCAGCUCUUCUAAAAGUGGAUGGCCUGUAAUCUAUUUAGAGCAACCUGCAUGUGACAGCUCCCCAGCAACGACACAGUUCAUCCACGUGACAUUCGCCACCCUGGAAAUGACGUGUUUCAAUGCCAAGUUCCAAUCAUCAGUGAGAGUCUGUAUCAGUAUUCCUCUAUUGAAAUAGGGCCUCUGUCACUGUUCGCCACUGUAAAGGCAGGAACACGCUUCAAUUGAAGGUCUAAUUGCUUUGACAAAUCACAGCUGUACAUGAGGGCCGGGCUUCCUUCACUAUGUGCAGGUACACACAGCUAAUGGAAAUGCCACAGUGGGGCUUCAAAAACCCUAUCUAUUGGAGGAAAUAUGGAACAAACCCCCAACAUAUUACAGCGGUGUAUAAAUCUAAGCUAAAUGGUACAGAUGUGGGGUAAAACUAACAGUUAAAUCACAAGAGCUGCUGAUUUAUUCACUCUGCCCUGACUGUCAGAUCAUGAAUAAAGACGCAUGAAACAAUGAGGAAAAGCUAGAAAUCACAACAGAGUACAUCGUAACGCUGAGAUGAUGGUCUACAAACUCCCUGUCUGGCCCUAUUUCUCUAAGCACGGAGCCCACAGGUGAAAUGUAUUUAUUACACCAGGUUAAUGGUGAUAGUACUCUGAAAGUGCAGAGCUGUGGAGUCAGAUUGGAGUGUGGGCUAAACGUCUAAUUUGUAAUUGAGAAGACUUCACUUUUUAGGGUGCAGAGACCUCAAGAGCACUCCAGAGGAUUCAGAGCAUGACUCAAAUCUCAACCUCUGUGUCAAGUUUUGGAUUAGACUCAUUCAAGUGGUGGGGCCAACUCAAGAGGAGAUACUCCAGAUUAAAAAUAGAAAAAAAGAAAAAAAAACCUCUGCAAAAAAGUCAGGGGCAGAAACAAGUUGCUGCUCUGUAUUUUAUAGAGGCACUUCUUUUCUGCAUACCAGAGGUAUACACCAACAAACUUGACAAGUCAUUUUUAAGUGUUUUCACAAACUGGACUGGAGCCAGUCCUCGACUUUUUCAACUGAAUAUUCAAACUCUUAAAACUCGGACAUGGAAUAUGUCUAUCAGAGCGUACUUGGUGUUUUUUAUUUCUUAAAAACAUAUGUUGUUUAAUACCUUUGUGCGUCCCAUACAACUGUAUACCAACAAAUAUAGAGAGGUUAUUAAAGGUGCCUUGGUGUUUUACCUAUAGUAAGGCACCAUAACCCAUCUAAAACUCUGUUACAGCCAUGCAUUAGCGAUACCACUGGAGCUGCCACUAUGACGCACUACACACAACUUGUUAUGGUUAAAUUCAGCUCCACUCAUUUCCCUCUAAAAGCAGCUCUUUUUGUAACAGCUUCUCUCCUACAGUAGGCCAUGCAUUUUAAAGAACUGCUGAUUGAUCAAACUGACUAUAUUGAGAUAAGAGACCAGCAGAGAUAGGUGGUGUAACUCCAUGUCUAUGAAGUUAUGGGCUGCAGAUCUGUACUCAGGUGGUCACAAUAUCAGAUCGUUUACCUCACAAUUAUUGUGGCCUUAAAAUAUCACAAUACACAUACCAUUGUGAUAUUAAUUGAAAUCUUGAAAUUAAAACACCAUCAGUCAAAUUAAAUUACUUCAACUUUACACAGUUCUUCACACUUAACAUAUAUCUCAUCAUCCAUUCCUAAUGAUGUUUAAAUGUACGAUUUAUCCACGUCAUCAGCCCUGUGACUGAAAGCUCUUAGUAGAUAUUACCUCAAAGCAUGAUAGCUCCCCAUGUUUUAAUGUUUGACACUGUUUUCUGUGUCACCUGAGGCUCGCUCUACUCCCUGCAUUGUCAAACUAUGCCUGUCAUUUUAUUUCAUUUCAUUUUUAUUUGUUCUGCUCAUGGCAGUUUUUAAAUAUUUCUAUAAAUACAAAGACAUUUAACAAUUGUAGCACAGGGAGCAGGUAGAAGACACGGCUUUAAUUUGAAGUAUACUAUUUAUGGUUGAUUGUAAGUAAAGGAACUGAAUAAAAAUGGUAAAAACAGCUUCUUCUUCUUCUUGUUUAUAAAGUAAGGACCGCUACUUAACUCAGUAUUACGGCAUUCUCAGCUUUUCUUGUUUUUCCAAAAUGUUUUAAGACAUUAUAUUGUCUUAAAUAUUUUGGUACAGCCCUCAUCUGCACAUCAGUAAUGUUAUUGUCCAGGAGCAGCACUUUGAGGACAUUGCUUAAUGCACUGUACAUCCUUGUGCAGGGAGAAAGUUUCAGGCAUUGUCCACAAGUACAGGGGUAUUUCUGAAGGCAUGUUUAAUUCUUUCUGUGUUGCUGCCUCCUGUUUCCCCCUAGAUUGAAUUAUGGGUUACUGGAAAUGAAACUAAAUCAAAGCAUAUGUUAGAGUGGAGACUUUUUUAAACUCUGAUUAGUUUUUUCCAUGUACGGCAAAAACACAGGUUUGGGGAAGUGCUGAUUUACUGCUGGUUUGUUUACUGUCAGGUUAAAUUGCACAUUAUAAUUGAAAGCUACUUGAGCAAGUGAAUGAAUAUAUACUGCUCAAUGCUUUUUUUUUUUUUUUAAGUACAGUGAAUACAGUUUUACAAUUGUUUUUUUAAAAAUACAGCUAACUCAAGGGCAACAUCUUUUUCUCGUUUCAACAGGACUCUCAGUGUUGCAUCUUUACGACCUCACCAGUUCUUGUUUGAUCAACAAAGAGACAGCGCACUUUUUAUAAGUGCGCUUCAUGGUAAAAAGUCCUUUAUCUUGCAACUUUCCCCAUAAUUGUAUGUAAUGGAAGUAAAGUAAAACUUGUAUAAGACAGAAGAAGUUCUUUGUCUUGACAGCGGAUUUAAUCACUGCACUCAUGUAGGCUCCCUUCUGAGAUACCUGAUGAUUUCUCACCUGCCAGUCACAGAGGACGAUUGAAUACGCCUGGUUUUCAAUUAUCUGAACAUAUUUUACAUCAGUUAGAAAUUUCUUCUGAAAGUAAAAUCUCACCUCCUAAUUAGACUUCUGUGAGUUGACUUAAGAAAAGGUUAUGGACAGAUGGACCAUCUCGUUACCAUGGAAAUUCCAGAAUCACCUGAAGAUGUGCUCAUUGGAUAUCCUCAGUGCCUCCUAUGAUUUAACUCCACACACAGAGAAAUGCAAGCAGGCAGAAACACACACAUCACACAGGUGCUCUUUGAAGCACAGCAUGAAUGAGCUGCAAAUAACAAAAUGGCCUCAGCAGAGUGCUGGAGCCAUGGUUGCUACUUACUGCAGAGGACCGGGCAAAAAACAAAACAGCACAGACUGAUAGAAACAUGUGACUUUACAGAGAAAAUCAGACAGAGAGAAGGAAAGAGAGAGAGAGAGACUGUUCAGAUCUAAACUAGUGCUUUCAUUCAGAAUAUGUAUUCUGACAGGUAUCAAGUGAAUGAAGUGACCUGUAGAACUCUUUGUCUGGUCUUGCUAAACUCCUUUGAAUCUCUUUCCCUUUGUCCUCUCAUGACAUGUAAAAUAACAAUAAACUUUUCAACCUCAGAAAGAGAAUUACAAUGAUGACAGAGAGUGGGACAAAGGCAUGGGAUUUAUUACAGUGUGUAUGUACAAAUAUUCUAAGCAUCAAUGACAUAAGAAUUCAAAAACAAUUGGAAUUUACAAACAACAUUGAAUGAAAUUCAUAUCAUUGGAGAUGAAAAAAAAAAAAAAAAAAAAAAAGACCACUAUGCAGCCAAACCCUGUCCGAGGCUUGUAAAAUAUCACAUUUAACAAAGCCUAAAGCAUUCACCAGAUAUGGGGUUUACUAAAACCAUCUAAGUUGCUUUUUUGUAUAUUUUUUGGUAAGAAAAAGAAACACAUUCCAAUUAAGUCCUUGCUCUGCUUUUAGAGUCCUAAUAAGAAACUAAUUGCUGAUAUUUAGAAUGACAAUCAUUAGAAAUCACAAAUGGGGUUAAACCCAAGGAAUUUGAGAAGACACUAAGAGCCAUUUGGCGACAAAGGUGUAUUCAUGAGCUAUGCAAAAGAUUGAAAGGAAGAGCUCUAGAGAACAAAAAUGAGUGUUUGACUGACACACCACAGAAGAUUGGACACAAAGGAGCAACAAAAGUCCUGUGAGAAAAAGACAUUUCUUAAAAAUAGGAGAAAAAAAAAAAGAAAAAUAAAAGACAAAGAGAAAAAGAAAUAUACUUCAUAUUCUGCUAUAAGGCCAGCAUGCACUACAAUUCACUGAUUUCAUUAGCAGCAGUUUUAAAUGAAUUAAGUCUUUUGUAAUUGUACCUCAAUUACACUCCACUUUCCCCUCAGUUGCAUUCUUAAUUAGCAUUUAUCAGAAAGCAGGCUUAAUGAGAGAAAUGCGUCCUGGGUAGCUGAAUGGGCACAGUCAGGGGGAAUAAACAGAAGAUGUAAAAAUCCUAAAUCAUCAAAUUGAAAAUUUAGGGUUUUUUGUCUGUAAAUGUUUUUAUGUGCAGACAUAAUGUGCAGCAGUAUUUCUCUGUAAUACUCAUCAUCCAGACUCUGCACCCAGUGCUGUAAACUUUUCUUUCCAUUACUGUCAACUGGUCUCUGCACCAUUCAGUGUGUCUGUUCCAUAUAUACGUCACCACCCACACUGAUUGGCGGUAGCUACACUUGGUCACAGUCGCUCAGCACAGGCUCUUUGUGGCACUGAAUUAAGGCUGUAAUUCUCAUGUCAGGAUCACUGGUAGUAUGUGGUUAACUUGAUCAUGAGAGUAGGUGGAGGAAGCCAACUGUCAGACAGAUAUGAAGCUGGACUGUCAGAGUAUGUUUGAAACAGGGCACGCAACUUCAACUCUACAACACAGAGCACGUCAUGUUUAGAAAUUACUCCCCUUCUGCCUCUAUUUUAGGUUGGGAAAACUCACCUCCUGGCUGUAUGUACAUCUGAUGUACACUACAGGCCAAAAGUUUGGAAGCAAGGCCAUUACAGGCUGAACAGUUGGGAGUAACUUCAAGUUUUUGUUCACAAUGCUUAUUUUAAAAUCCAGCAUGAGUUUUAUGUAUUUUGGGAUGUAUUUACUCCAUGAUCAGAUGCUGCUUUCAUAGAAAUGCACCAUUUUAUUCCAUUUACCUUUAGAUAUAUAUUGAUGUUAACAGACCAUUGCUAUAUACAUAUGUCAGCAAAAAAUAAGGGAAAAAAACAAAUCACAGUUAGAUUAUUCACUUCAACUUUUUGGCUUUUGAGAGUCUGCAUACAAAAAUCCUAAUAAAUCUCAACUGCGUUCAAACUACCACAAAAAUGGCUAGAAAGAAGCAACUGAGUAAAGAAACAAAAGUACAGACUUGUACAUUGAGGAAAGAAGGAUACACAGAAAGAGAAAUUGCAAAACGCCUAAAAGUGUUUAACAAAGGAGUCCACUACACUCUGAAGAGACAAGAGGAACCUGGAAGUUAUGAUGAUAGAAAAAGGCCGAAAUGAAAGAGAGUUACUACAAAAGCAGAGGAUAAACAUAGCAUUGUCACCAAUAAGAGAGAUCGGCAAAAGACAGCACCAAAAAUAAGGGAGGAAAUCAACAUGACACGGUCGAAACCCAUCUCUCUGACAACUGUGAAAAGACAUUUGAGAAAGGCUGUUCUGAAGGGUUGUGUAUCUGCAAAAAACACUACUUCGUCCACAGAGCAAGAAAAAGAGAUAUGAGUGGGCAAAAGCUCACAAAAAUUGGACUUAUGAUGACUAGAAACAAGUUUGCACUGCUUGGUUCAAAACGCAGAGUCUAUGUCUGCAGACAAACUGGUGAACGUCUGCAAGCACCAUGUGUUACACCCACAAUUCAGCAUAGAGGUGGUAGCGCCAUGGUAUGGGGAUGUUUUGCAGGUGAUGGAGUAGGAGAUUUGUUUGAAGUAAAGGGUAUCAUGAAGAAGGAACAGUACCACUCCAUCCUCCAGCACCAUGCUGUUCCAUCUGGACUCAGACUUGUGGGUCCUAAGUUUGUUUUUCAGCAAAACAAUAACCCUAAAUAUUCUGCCAAGCUCUGUCAGGGUUACCAAGACAAAAAAGAAGAGGAAGGUGUUCUUCAAAAGAUGGUUCGGCCCCCUCAGCACAGCACAUGCAGAGUCACAUGCAGUGUAUCUCAGUCAGCAAUCCUUGAAAUCAGAUGAGUUCAUUCGCCUCCUACAUUCCAGGCUCUGCAAUGUGACUAACGUUCACACGUACAUCGCAAUGACAAUGCUCAAACGAUGCAUAUUGUGCAGCGCUACUGACAAGUCCUUUGUUCUCCCACACUUCCCCAUAAAUCAAUCCCCCUUUAGCAUACUAUAACUAUAAACUCUAUUGAUCAAAAUGUAAUAAUAAAUAAGCAUUAUUAACUGGAAAAGAAUGAAGAUGAUGAAUAAAUUGACUGGCCGAUCCAAAUUAAGUUACAGUAAUAAAUCCAAAAUCCCCAACUCAAUUUCCCCCCUCUCCAACGCCAACAUAUACCUCAACUAAUGUACCCCUAAACAAUACUGUUUACCAAUUAGGUUAUUUUAAGUGCGUGUGUGUGCGUCUGUGUGUGUAUGACCUGGGCCUCCCAUCACAAACAUAUUAAGGGUUAAAUUCAAUACCAGCAACAGGUUUCAAACUAUUAGUUUCGGAUUCAUGUUUUUUAUCAUGUGUCCUCAGCUCUUCUUUAACUUAUUCAGUGCCAGGUUUAUUUAUGCAAUUUUCACCCACUGCCACUAUUGACUGCAAUAGAAAUUUUCAUAAAUAUCAGGACCCUCAGAAUAUCUUGUUUUUGGACUAUAAAUAUCUCAAAGGGGUGAUUCUCUUCUUUCACCAGAAAAAGUAAGUCUCUAACCCACUCCUGUGUUUAGUUAUUGUCUGCUCAAUGCAGUGUGGUCAUAUCAUCUUUAGCCUUCUGAAAAAAGAAACCUUGGAAAAACACAUUUUCACAAAGGAGAGACUUUCGAGCAGAACCCUGAUUGUAUUUCAUUGGCAUCAAGGUCCUUCCUCCUCAGACACCACUCCUCAUCCCUUUCGAGAUCCAAUUGUGAUAGGUCACUUUGUGACGGCUGGGAGUUGUAUUGGCUCUUAAGAACCUGACGCCACGAAGUAAACCAUGCAAUAAUAAAUAAUAAUAUCUUACAUUUGUAUAGCGCCUUUCAAGAUACCCAAAGCGCUUGACUGCAGACUGUUUGUGUCCUACUCGCUGGGACUGAAUUCCGGCUCAAAUUUACCAGUACCAUCAACGGCGGCACAACGACAUGCCAGAAAAUAGUUUAUUUGAUUGUCUACUUACAAUGUGAAGGUCCAGUACCGGGAUCUGCACUGAAUCCAGAGCUGGUGGCACCGCACCAACGGGAGCCGAUGCACCGAGACCUUGACUAAUGACUUUGGCAUUUUCCUACUCUCCUCAUGGAGAAAAAAACACUCCACAACUAGGCUAAAUGGCACACUUCUCGCUUGCGAGCACUUGUGUUUUUUUGUUGUUGUUGUUUUUAUUGUUACAUGGUUAUGACUUAUUUGUCAGCUUUUCUGCAUUCUAAAUGACCCCAAACUAAGUUGCAUGUUAGGGAGGAGCGCCCUCUGGUGGAAAACAGAAAAAUCCGUCAAAAUCCAUUAAUAGCACUCAGGUCAAAUAAAAAAAUCUGUCCAAAUCCAUCAUCCGUAGAUCUUAGUGAACCCAACAGACCAGGUUCUAAAGUAUGAAAGUAAAAUACACUCACCGGCCACUUUAUUAGGUACACCUGUCCAACUGCUCGUUAACACUUAAUUUCUAAUCAGCCAAUCACAUGGCGGCAACUUAGUGCAUUUAGGCAUGUAGACAUGGUCAAGACAAGCUCCUGCAGUUCAAACCGAGCAUCAGUAUGGGGAAGAAAGGUGAUUUGAGUGACUUUGAACGUGGCAUGGUUGUUGGUGCCAGAAGGGCUGGUCUGAGUAUUUCAGAAACUGCUGAUCUACUGGGAUUUUCACGCACAACCAUCUCUAGGGUUUACAGAGAAUGGUCCGAAAAAGAAAAAAUAUCCAGUGAGCGGCAGUUCUGUGGGCAGAAAUGCCUUGUUGAUGCCAGAGGUCAGAGGAGAAUGGCCAGACUGGUUCGAGCUGAUAGCAAGGCAACAGUGACUCAAAUAACCACCCGUUACAACCAAGGUAGGCAGAAGAGCAUCUCUGAACGCACAGUACGUCGAACUUUGAGGCAGAUGGGCUACAGCAGCAGAAGACCACGCCGGGUGCCACUCCUUUCAGCUAAGAACAGGAAACUGAGGCUACAAUUUGCACAAGCUCAUCGAAAUUGGACAAUAGAAGAUUAGAAAAACGUUGCCUGGUCGGAUGAGUCUCGAUUUCUGCUGCGACAUUCGGAUGGUAGGGUCAGAAUUUGGCGUCAACAACAUGAAAGCAUGGAUCCAUCCUGCCUUGUAUCAACGGUUCAGGCUGGUGGUGGUGGUGUCAUGGUGUGGGGAAUAUUUUCUUGGCACUCUUUGGGCCCCUUGGUACCAAUUGAGCAUCGUUGCAACGCCACAGCCUACCUGAGUAUUGUUGCUGACCAUGUCCAUCCCUUUAUGACCACAAUGUACCCAACUUCUGAUGGCUACUUUCAGCAGGAUAAUGCGCCAUGUCAUAAAGCUGGAAUCAUCUCAGACUGGUUUCUUGAACAUGACAAUGAGUUCACUGUACUCAAAUGGCCUCCACAGUCACCAGAUCUCAAUCCAAUAGAGCAUCUUUGGGAUGUGGUGGAACGGGAGAUUCGCAUCAUGGAUGUGCAGCCGACAAAUCUGCGGCAACUGUGUGAUGCCAUCAUGUCAAUAUGGACCAAGCUCUGUGAGGAAUGCUUCCAGCACCUUGUUGAAUCUAUGCCACGAAGAAUUGAGGCAGUUCUGAAGGCAAAAGGGGGUCCAACCCGUUACUAGCAUGGUGUACCUAAUAAAGUGGCCGGUGAGUGUAUUGUCCCAUUUUGGCCUGAUAGAGGAAUUCAGCUGCUCAAAAGUUCAGGGUCUCAUUUGUCCGGUUUUUGGUGUCCUGAUGCUUCAAAUGUUUUCAAUGGGGGACAAGUCAGGACUACAUCAGUCCAGUUUCUCAGCAGGACUCUUCGACUACAGAGCCAUGCCGUUGUAAUCCCUGUCGUCAGAAUGUGGUUUGUCAUUGUCUUGCUAAAAUAUGAAGGUCUUCCCUGAAAAAGUCUUUGUCUGGAUGGCAGUAGAUGUUGCUCCUUAACCUGCAGAUAUCAUUUAGCAUUAAUGGAGCCUUCACAGAUGUGGAAGCUACCCAUGACAUGGACUUUGAUGAUCCCCAGACCAUCAGGGAUGCUGGCUUUGAACUGGCAGCUUAGAACAAACUGGGCAGCUUCUUGGCAAAGGAUGGAGCACCCAUGAUUUCCAAAGAGAAAAUCAGAUUUUGAUUAAUCAGACCACAGGACAGUCUUCCUCUUCUCCAGUCUACCUUAAAUGGACUCAGGUCCAGAGAAGUCUCUGGUGUUUCUGGAUCAUGUUCCUAUCUGGUUUUCUCUUUGCAUGGUUCGGUUUUAACCUCAUCUGUGGAUGCAGUGAUGAAGUGUGUUCAGAUAAUGUUUUUCGGAAGUGAUUUUCAAUCAAUCAAUCAAUCACUUUAUUUAUAAAGCACUUUUCAUACAUAAACUUGCUGUACACAAGAAAGGGAGGAUCAGGGAAUACAAAAUAAAACACAAACUGCAAAAACCCACCCACCCAUCCUCCAAGCCCGCAUUUAACAGAGACCCCCACCCACCCACCCACCCAGCACACACACACACACACACACACACACACACACACACACACACACACACACACACACACACACUCACAACCAAGUCAGGGCUCAACAGAAAGCCACAGAGGACCAAGGAAAUGCUAUCUUAAACUAAAAUGGGGAAACACUGGAGCUGAAGCUAAACUGAUAAAACCAUGACAAGAUAUAAAAAAUAAAAUUAAAUAAAACAACAACAAUAAUAAUAAUAAUAAUAAUAAUAAUAAAACUUUUAAAAUAAAACAAUAAAAGAAAAUACAAAAAUAGUGUUAAAAUAUAAGAAUAAUUCUAGGACUGGAGUAAACUAAAGAGGCUAGAGGAAUAAAACAAAAAUCAGCUAAAGGCCAGACUAAAAACGAAGGUCUUGAGUUUGCGUUUCAAAAUAUGAACUGAAGGUGCUGCUCUCAGGUCUUCAGACGGACUGUUCCACAGACGGGGGCCAUAAUAAUAAAAUGAUGCCUCACCGUAUGUUUUGGUUCUAACUUUGGGGACUAUUAAAAGACCACUACCUAAAGACCUGAGGGCUCUACUGGGCUCAUAUCAUAAAAGGAAAUCAGAUAAAUAAGAAGGACCAAGACAUUUAUAAACUAAUAAAAGAACCUUAAAAUCUAUUCUAAAAGAUACAGGAAGCCAAUGCAGAGACUUUAAAAUUGGUGUAAUGUGGGCUCUCCUCCUGGUCUUCGUCAGCGUGCGUGCAGCCGAAUUUUGCAGCAGCUGAAGCUGUGAAAUGUUCUUUUUAGGAAAUCCAGAGAGGAGGGCACUGCAAUAAUCAAUUCUGCAGGCAAUAAAAGCAUUGAUAAGAGUCUCUGAAUUGGCUUGAGAGAGAAACUGGCGGACUCUGGAGAUGUUCUUAAGGUGAUAAAAAGCCUUUUUGGUGACAUCACUUGUGUAAUUCAAAGCUGAGAUUAAAAUCAAAUGUAACACCCAGAUUUUUAACUUGUUUUGAGGGAUUAAAAGACAGUUUGUUCUCCAGUUUCUCUCUCUUUGGACCUGCACCGAUGACUAAAACCUGGGUUUUGUCCUGGUUGAGCUGCAAGAAGUUGUCUGCCAUCCAGGACUGGACGUCUAAAAUACAGUUAAAAAGGGCAUCAAUGGGCCCUGUGUCAUCAGGAGACACGGCCAGGUAAAGCUGUGUAUCAUCAGCAUAGCUGUGAAAGUUAAUGCUGUGUCUUCUGAUGACAUCUCCUAAUGGUAACAUAUAUAGAUUAAAAAGUGUGGGGCCAAAAAUUGAGCCCUGGGGAACGCCACACUCCAUUUAAUAGGUUCUUGAUGAGCGUUUCCCAGUGCUAACGUAAAAUUUCCUGCCAUUCAGAUAUGUUUUAAACCAGCUAAAAACAGUACCAGAGAUGCCAAUGUAGUUUUGGAGUCUGUUUAAAAGAAUUGUAUGAUCUACCGUGUCAAAAGCUGCACUCAGGUCCAACAGGACUAAAACAGAAAUUAAUCUUUCAUCCAUGUCGGACCUGAGGUCACUUACAAUCUUGACCAGUGUACUGUGAUUUUUCCGAAAACCAGACUGAAAUAUGUCACAAAUAUUUUUAGAAAUCAUAAAAUCAUUUAACUGGUUAAAAACAAUCUUUUCUAAAACUUUGCUUAAAAAGGGCAGGUUGGACACAGGUCUGUAAUUAUCAGGUACCGCUGUAUCAAAGUUGUUUCUCUUCAGAAGGGGUCUGACACAGGCUGUCUUGAAGGCAGUGGGAAAGACCCCUGUCUGAACAGAAUAGUUUACAAUACUAAUAAUGUCAUCCUUAAAAACACUAAAAGAGGUCUUAAAAAGGGAUGUGGGGAUAGGAUCUAAAACACAAGUCACUGGUCUAAAAUGGGAGACAACCUCCUCAAUCUCUGCAGCAUCAACCAGGGCAAACCUGUCCAGUGUUUCCCCAUUUAAAAACAAAGACUCAGAAUAGCUAAAAUCAUCAGGCUUCCUGUUUAAAAAGUUUGACCUGAAAACGUCAAUUUUAAUUCUGAAGUGGACUGCAAGGUCUUCACAGAAUAAAUUUGAAUUAAAAGGUUGCUUAAAAACAGGACUUGUUAAUUGGUCAAUGGUUGAGAAAAGGAUUUGGGGGUUAUUGCGAUGGUCAGCUAUUAAUUUUAAAAAGUGGUCCUGUCUUGCUUGUUUUACUGCUCUGUUGUAAGUGGGGAUUUGUUCCUGAAAAAUCUGAUAAUGCACUUGUAAUGGGUUUUUCCUUCUUUUUUACCUUUAAUGGUGCAACAACAUCUAUUGCUGACUUAAGUUUCUGGUUUAAAUGAUCAACAAUAAAAUCACAAGCAGAGGGUAAAACAGCCUUUUGAGCAUCAGUUAAAAUCUCACUAAAAUUAGCAGCCAUUUCAGAAGUAAGAUAGCGUUUCCUGACAGUACGCUCUGGGACCUCCUGCUGGAUAAAAUCCAUUACGUUAAAAAACACACAGUGAUGGUCGGACAAGCCCACAUCCACAACAGAGGACACAGGGGCUGAUAACCCAAAGGUUAUUAAAAGAUCCAAUAUAUUUCCUCUGUUUUGGGUGGAGCUUGAUACAUGCUGCUUAAAAUUCAUAAAUUUAAUAAGAUUUAAAUAUUCAGAGCUAAAAGAGUCUGAUGGAUUCCCAACGUGAAUUUUCAAAUCCUCUACAAUAAUGAUUUUGUUGUUCUUUGAAUAAAUGAUUGAUAAAAGUUCUGAAUAUCACUGAUAAAAGCAGAGCAUUUUUUUUGGGUGGCCUGUAAACGGUUAAACAAAAUAUAGAUUUUGAGUCCAUGCAGUGAUUUCCACUCAAGAAUCCUUUCUGUUUCUAGUACAGUGCUGCCUGAGGGUCUGAAGAUUCACUCAUUCUUUCACAUUUGACACAGGAAAUUUGUUCUGAGUAUUUUCUUUUUAGACCGUCUCACUUAGAUCACUUUUAGUGCUGCUUCACCCAGCAAUGCUAAUGUAAGGGCCAACACCAGUAUCCCUGGCAAAAAGAGAUACAAUUAUCAGGCCUCUGGUGAAGAUUUUUAUUUGUAGUGACUUGAUGAAUUCACUAUUUGGAUAAAUAAAGGUCUUAUAUUGCGCUUUGUCUCUCGUGGAUUAUGUAACAAAGUUUAGGAGUGUCAAAAAAACCUUUUAUUUUUAUUUUUUUUAGAUAUCAUUAAAUUGGGUAAAUAGAGAAGUAUAGUGGCAACUCUAAAGACACUUUUUUGAUCACAGCAAGUCUGUGACUCACACAAAAAGCUCCCACUCUGUGCAUCUCUCUUUGAGGAGCAGGGGGAAAAAAAUUGUGUUUUUCAAUGCCAUCGACUCACAAUGGUCAGUGGUUUGCUUUAAGGUUUAAUACUACAAAACCUUUCCACUGACAGCGGAGAAGAGUUUUUUGGGAAAAACUCCUCAUUUUAAUUAGUGUAAGUAAAUUAGUGUAUGUUGAUAUUACUCUCCAACUCAGUUCACUUGCCAUUAAAAUCCAAUUCCACCCACAUUUAUUUCAAGAAGUUACCUCUACAACUCUGUUCUCCUUCAAAGUUACGAAACUCAGCUGCCUCAAAAGCAGCCAUCUGCUUCAUCUCCUUUAUAAACUCACCACAACCCCUUCAUUUUUCUCUGGGAUACAACUUUUUUUUUUUUUUUUUUUACAGAGUCAGGGGUCCAUAUUUUGUCCCCCUGCUCUACUGCAUUUAGAAAGAGAAAUUGGGUUAGGAGUUUUUUGUUACUGGGUAUAUCAAAAGACAGAUAAUAAAAAACAUGUCCGAACACAUUUACAGAAACCUUUUUAUCUAAAACUAUCCAAAUUCUUGUAGUUUGACCACUUACCAAAGAAUUUGAGAUUCAUUUAUUUAUUUUUGUUAAAUAGAUAAAAAGAUGUAGAGCUCCAAAAGCUCUACUGUGAUAUUGUGGUACAACUCUGACAGCAGGAAAAUCCCUUGAGAGGAAGACAGGAGACUUUUGUCGCAUAAGAUUGCAAUGUAUUAAGGAGAUCUAUGAGUAAUAGGGAGAACUUGGAUCUACAAGGUUAAAGAAAGCAGACUGAGGGCCUGAUUUACAGAAGGCUUGAAUGGCUAUCCUCUUUGACCCUUUUGAAAUGAGACAAAAAGACAUUAUCCAUGUUUACAUGUGCAAAAUUUCUUGAUCCAAUUAAAAAUUUGAGGGAUAGAAAAAUGUGAAUGGACUGUUUAUAAGGGCGCAAAAUCAAAUGAUCUGAUCAUGACGUGCGUUUACACGCACCAAGCUCUAUGCGGAUUAGAAGCAUUUGGACAUGUGCAGAGUUUUCUAAUUUCGCUAAAACAAUGGCAGAAGAGGAGUUGUAUUGACGCCUGUGCUGUCAACAAACCAACAAACGCAGUAGUGAUUUACUUCAUCCGAUUCAGGAUUUUCCCCCUGUUAAAUGUUGUUACUAGAUGACCCCCUUGUUUGCUUAUUUUACUGUUCAGUCAAAGGUUGCACUGUGCAUGCAGAUGUGACAUCAUUACGCUGUAUGUAUGCCUUUUUAUGUUAUCGGAGCAGCAGGCACAGCACCUGUGGUUGUGUUUUAUACCAGAUUUUGAUAACAAAACCUUCUGUACUGGCCUCAAUGAAUAAGUCAAAGUCUAAAGAGUGACGACCAACUCAAGCUUUGCUUACUCUCCAUCUACGAUAAGACAGCUGGGCACUCCAGUGCUUUACACCCUCCACUCAGAAUGGACUUGAGCCAGGUUCUGAGAGCGAUUGUAUUGCUCCUAGUGUACAUGGUCAUCAAGUGGGCCCAGCAGCACAUAAUGACCCUGCGUUACAUGAGGAGACUGUAUCCAGCAAGAAAGUUGCAUCAGACACAGACAAAUUGCUCUUACUGACAAGAUGUAAACAUGGCGGGAUCUAACUGCAGAAAUGCGUCACGUUGAUGUAGGGCACACGUGCAGUCUGGUUAGUUUUGCCCCAACAGAGAGUCACGAUCGUAAUAAGUGUUUACAUGGAUGCGUUUCAGAAUAACAAUCGGCAUAAACCACCCCUCUCGUUAGGAAUACGAUUUCUUUCCAAUUGAGCCACAUUGGAUUAGAAUUUUCUGAUCAACAUGUUUACAUGACACAAUUUUAUUCUGAUCAGGUCUUUAUUCUGAUUAUUUGUGCCCAUGUAAACACAGCUAUUGUCUGAAUUAUGGGCAUGUUAAAACAGUUACAUGUAAACUGUGUAAUCAAACUGUGCUGCAGAGCAAACAGUAUCACUGUGCACCAGCAUCUUUGCAGAGACAUCAACAACAGGGGGAGCUGGUGAGAAAAAUAGUAGGUGGGGCUGAAGGUUUAGAAACCAGAGCCCUGUAGAGGGGUGGGGAUUUUUUUUUUUUUUUUUUUUUUUAUUUAUUUAUUUUGGUUUUCACCAAAUGAAGCAUUCUGGUGCAUUCUAGGAAAAGAAUUAAGGAAACAUAUGAUCUUGACCUACAAAGAAAAUGGGGUGGGGAAACUGUAUUUUAAUGUAUUAACAGGGCAUUAUAGUCGACACAUAGCCGACUUACAUUCAAUGUUAUCCUAUGAUAUAGAAACUGACAGUAGCAUACUCCUGUACAUUCACCUGCAUUUCAACAGGUUAGGGUAUAGCAAAGGUGCACACAAAAACAACAACAGAAAAAUAGGAAAGAGCAGACCCACAUUUAUAACUAAUCAGGCUGCAUAUCAAGAAACAAAAAAGGGCCAUACUCUUUGGACAUGCAAUUAGCUAUGGUUUGUGCACAUAUCAUGCUCCUGAGAAUGUCUGCAUAUAUUUUUUCCCCUUCUCUGUGGUCACUUGCUGAGCAGCGACACCUGGUCAAUCCGGACCAAGCUCUUUCUGCUUUAGUUUGUCUUGCGGAGUUCUCCUCUCAAAUGGGACCUGCUUGAUGGACAGCACAGUGUUCUCCAGUAAAUCACUCGGUAGGGGAUUUGUAGGGUAGUUAUUCCCAUGUCUUCUGUCAUUAGCAGAUAAGUGCAGAGUGAGGGGCGAACCGGCUCCCAGUAGAGCAGCUAGCUGCAUCAGACCCAUAUCGUAGCUAUGCGACCGUUUGUGACCAAUCUGGUCAUGAGCAUGGUUACGUCAUUCAAAUUACUCAACUCAACUUAAUUUGUAAAGCACUUUAAAACAACCAUAGCUAAAUAAAGUGCUGUACAUAAAUGCAAAACAAUGCAAACAUAAAAAAUUUGGGACGCUUGGGCACUGGUCCCUGGCGUAGGGUAAGAUAAGCUAAAUUUUUAAUGCAGGACUCUGAUCUGAGCAUGCAUAAGAGCACAGAAAGCUUGGGUGCAGGCCCUUGGCACCCCUAACGUUAAUGCACAACAUGCGUGACACAACAGAUGUUCUGAUUCCGUCCCGACACUGGGUGGAGAGAUCACUAACGGACUGAAAUACACAUUAAAUGCAAUGAUUAAUAUGACAGCACAAUUUUCUUAUUUUGAUAAUAAUUUUCAGGUAGACAGCAGACAUCUCGUUUUGCUCAAACUGGCUCAUGCAACUGAGGAGGGGCUCCGCCCGCAGCACCCUCAUAUACCAGCCAUCCCUGAUCAACAAACAUUAGCAUUCCUUUGAAGCAAAAAUGCCUCUUUUCACCUCUUUUCAGCUCAAAUGAGCUUCAGUGUACAUAACAUAUUUUUUCUUGAAUUGUACAAACUGCUCUUUGCUAACUUGUACCAGGAGUUAUGCUGGCUAUCAUGGUUAAAUAUGUGCUUAAUCUACCUUCUUGAUGCUGAUGUCUUACACAUUUAAAGCCGUGUCUGUAGGAAUCAAAUUGUAGGGGCAUGGUGUUGUUUCAAUACAUCCCCAGAUAACCAGAUCAGGCAUUAAAACCCUUUGAUGCACAACAUAUGCACACCCCCUCUAAUGCGCAACAUGGGUCUAAAAAGACCCGCAUUCAUUUCCAAUGGUAUUUCAUGCUGGCUGUUUUUCUUCGUUCUAUCUUUUGAAAUCAGUUUAUUUUCUGAUUGAAUAGUCCAAGUAUUCUUUAAAUAUCUUGUUUUUGAUCACCACUGAUCAUUAUUUCUAUUUUUCUUUUCAUACUUUAUGAACUAAAAUAGUUUCUAUAUUAUUACAUCAAGUUUACACACAUGGGUCAAAAAUGGUCCUCUUGUCCGCCCCCCCCCCCCCCCCCCCGCAAGGAGGGUCAAACCCAAAAAUGCCAAAAAUUUAUCUUUAUCCACGCUUCUCCACUCUUUCCCUUUUGCUGUUGCUGUUCGUCGUCCCUCUAAGUUGGUGCCCCCCCAACAACCAACAAUCAAAUAAUUUCUAAGAUAAUGUCAGAACAAUUGAAAAACCAUACUUACAUGUAUUGUGAAUGAAAAAACAAAAAAAUGCCCCCCAAAAUUCCCUAUUAGUGUGUAUUGCGUGCCAAGGCGUAUACUAGUAUUCUAGAUGGCAGGUUUGUUUUUUUAUUAUUAUAGAUGCACCUUCGGCAAUUAAUGCUGCUCGAGCAGUAAGGUGCAUCCAGGCAUGGCAUGGCAAAACAUGCGUCUCCAUCAUGCAACAGUGGGUAUUACUUUUCUCUAUCAUUACUGUUUCCAUGGUGACACCAGACGCCAAAAGCAGUGAAAAUUUCCCCAAGUUAGCGAAUGGGAGAGGAUGAGAAAAUAAUCUAUUUUUCGCAUGACUUUGACACUUCGCACUUUCGCCACACUUUGACAUAGAAGUGUAAUUAAAACAUCAAAACAUUGACACCAGACCUGUGAUUUAAAAAGUCUAGACAGCCCAUUGAUAUCUGAUACGGUAUGGCCACAGUAACUGUUCAAGCCAGGGGUGCAAACAAGGAUUUUCUGUUUUUUAGAGUGAUCAUCAUUUCAGAGUGAAGAUAAGUGAACGUGUAAUCCCAAUUUUUAUUUUCUAAAUUGUUGCCACGGCCACAAUUUUCACUCGACACACACAAAUUGUACAUCAAAACGUAGGAAAUCUACCAGCUGGAAAAUGUGGACCUUGAAGCUGUGAGUUGCUCACUUUUCAAAGUGCAAGGUUUUGUUCAGGAGGAGGUACCUGUUGCCCUCCAUCCACUGCCAUUCAAAAAGAACACAAAUGCUCCACAUCCGACUGUUGCUCAUUUUCUCUGAACAACUCGCAUCCUGUCUAAACCGUAAAGCUUAGCAACCUGUCCUUCUAAUAUUUGUUGGAGAUGUUCUACCAGUCUGUGGUGGCCAGUGUACUUUUCUUAGCCGUGGUUUGUUGGGGGAGCAGCAUCAGAGCCAGUUCACAACCCGGUCCUGUUAACACCCAAGUAUGUCCCCAUUGUUAAGAGGCAGCCUGUUUACACCAUGACGGUGAGGAGGUGGACUGAGGAGGCUGCUGAGGCACUGCAGGACUGCUUCGAAUCAACGGACUGGGAUGUACUCUGUGAGCCACACGGGGAGGACAUCAACAGCAUGACAGACUGCAUCACAGAAUAUAUCAGGUUCUGUGAAAACUCCACCAUCCCAAACCGGGCUGUACGCUGCUUCCCCAACAAUAAGCCAUGGAUCAUGGGAUGAAGCACAUCACAGGAUGUAAAGGGAAACAAAGGCAACCAUCAGGCAGCCUGGAGAGAGCCAACAAGCUAAACACUUUCUUUAAUAGGUUCAGCUCACAGCCGUCUGUCUCCCUCAUACAUCCAGUCCCCCACACUCCCUCACCACAUCAACCCCUCCCCCCUCUGUCCCCUGUGGUGAGCAAUCCUGUGCAGCAACCCUCCCCCUGGAGACAUCAGCCCCCCCCCCCCCCACACACACACACACACACACACACACACACACACACACCCCACACACAUACACACACACACACGACCGUGACCACGGGCCAGGUUAGGAGACAGCUGGAGAGGCUCCACCAGAGGAAGGCAGCAGGACCUGAUGGCAUCAGCCCUAAGAUCCUGAGGACCUGCGCCAACCAGCUGUCUGCUAUCAUCCAACACCUCUAAAACCUGAGCCUGAGUCAAGAGAGAGUCCCAGUGCUGUGGAAGAUGUCCUGUCUCGUUCCUGUCCCAAAGAAGUCGACUCCAUCUGACCUCGAUGACUACCGACCAGUUGCUCUCACUUCCCAUCUGAUGAAGGUGCUGGAGAGGUUGGUUUUGUCCCACCUGAGUCCGCAGGUGAAGGAGCUCUUAGACCCUCUACAGUUUGCCUACCAGCCCCAUUUGGGAGUUGACGAUGCUGUCAUCUACCUGCUGCAAUGAGCUCAUCUGCAUCUGGAUGGUGGUGGCAGCACUGUGAGAAUCACCUUCUUUGAUUUCUCCAGUGGUUUCAACACCAUACAGCCACUGCAACUGGGUGAGAAGCUGCGGGUGAUGGGUGUUGACACCUCCAUUGUCUCCUGGAUCACCGACUACCUGACGGACAGGCCACAGUUUGUCCGUCUGGGCAGUGUUCUGUCUGAUGUGGUGGUCAGUGAUGCAGGAGCUCCACAGGGGACUGUGCUGUCCCCCUUCCUUUUCACCUUGUACACCACUGGCUUUCAGUACAACUCCGAGUCAUGCCACCUGCAGAAAUUUUCUGAUGACUCGGCUGUUGUUGGGUGUAUAAGCGGGAGAAGGGAUGGGGAGUACAGAGCAGUGGUGGAUAACUUCGUGGAGUGGGCUGGACGCAAUCACCUGAGGCUGAAUGUCACCAAGACCAGAGAGAUGGUCAUCGACUUUAGGAAGAAGAGGACGGCUUCACAGCCGCUGUGCAUCCUGGGAGAAGAUGUGAAGGAGGUGGAGGUCUACAAGUACCUGGGCGUCUAUGUCAACAACAGACUGGACUGGAAAUCCAACACCGAUGCUGUCUACAAGAAGGGGAUGAGCAGACUCUACUUCCUGAGAAAGCUGAGAUCCUUCAAUGUGUGCAGCAAGAUGUUGGAGAUGUUCUAUCAGUCUGUGGUGGCCAGCGUACUUUUCUUUGCUGUGGUUUGUUGGGGGGCAGCAUCAGAGCCAGUGACACCAACAGACUCAACAAACUAAUCAGGAAGGCUGGCUCUGUGAUUGGCUGCAAACAGGACACUGUGGAGGCUGUGGUGGAGAGGAGGAUACUGAACAAACUACUUCAAGGCAAUGGCAGCCAUCUUGGACACCAUCUUGUUUUUCAUAUUUAAUGUUAUAACCCUCAUGAAAAUAACAGAUAAUGGAAAUGAUAUUUUCAUACAACCAUAUGCACGUAACAACAAUCGGUGUUACAAAUUUCUCACUCUCCCAAUUCUAUAUCUGUAUCUAUAUGCUGUAUCUCAAGAACCGUAAUGGAUACAGAAAUGUACUAGGUACCGAAAUGUCCGCAAUACCCAACUUUAUAUUCAACUUCAAUAUAUGUAUGGGGCUUAAAAUCAGUCAUUUUGAGUUAUAAAGGAAAAACCACAUUUUUGGGGCGACAUCUUGGAUUUUGGGGCCGCCAUCUUGGAAUUUUGUGUGGCUAACGUUAUUUUUGAAAAGAGUGGGGUUUGAAGAGUAUAUGUACCAAAUGUCAUGCUUGUAUAACAAAGUGAACAAUUCGGGCUAUAUUAUGCAUUUGUCUGCUCCACUAAUACAGGAAAUCGUUCCUGCCACAAGCUAAUGCACUAUUUAAUAACUUUCAUCUGUCAGACAGGGACUCACAUCUGUCUGCUGUAUAGUUCUUUUUUUAUAAAAAAACUCCUACCACAUCACAUUACUGAGUACCUUAAAUUGUCUGUAUAUCCAUCACCCCAUCUAUAAUAUUUCGCAUUUCAUAUUUAUUACUCAUUUCAAUAGCCCACGUUCUUCAUAUCCCACUUUUAUCUCUUAGGAUGUUUAGUACAUUAGUCUGUAUUUAUUGUAUAUACUUAGUAUUUUUAGUCUAUAUUGUAUCUAUCUAUCUAUCUAUCUAUCGUAGCUGUAUUCGAGCAGUCACUCACAGUCCAGAUUUUUUUUUUCCCAUACGACAUGUAGUUUGUCAGCAACAAGCCUUUUGACGGCACUCAGACAUAUUAAGAUUCCUAUUCAAAGUGAAUGGAGCUGCUGAAAACAUGGGUUGGUCUCCAUAUUUAGAGCUUGAUUGUGAUGUCAUACUUUAAGGUAGAAAUGUGAUUUGAACUCUGACCUUUAGUUGAGACCUGAACCCUUCAACCUGCAAAAACCACAUUUCAAUUUCUCGUACGGUUUUCUUACAAAGUGAAUUUGUUUCGGCCAGUCCAGUUUUAAGCAGGCAGAGGCUCAGUGAGGCUAAAGGUCCUUUCACUCUGGCACCGUUUUUUUUCGUGCGAUUAUUACGGACGUCAAUAUUUUUUUCCGAACCCGUAUUCUGUCAAUACAAGCAUUCACAUCAGCGACGUUUUCCUGUCCUGCAAUAUUGCGGCAUUUAUUUUUUCGCAUCACGGUCAAUUUUUCUUAAGUUAAGUUAAGACCUGAAGGACAACUUGUAGAGAGUCAUGGCGUCAGAUCUCUCAUGACGAUAGUUUGUGUGCUUUAACAGUUUGCUAAACGUCUUUGUUUUAACUUCCUCUGUGCUAAACAUCCAACCUGUUCAGAUACAACAUACCUUAUGUAUGUUGACUGUCUCAAACUCAAUCGCAUUGCUGUCACAGCACCAUUAGGUCUCAGUUGUUACCUUAUGUGCAUGAAUUAUAGUUUAAUGUGCUUAUCUGGUACUGGCCCCGACUAAAUACAUGCCAUCAUGACAGACAGCCAUCUCAACAUUGCAUCAGGCUUGAUGUUUAUAGUCAGGCACGUCAAAAUUCACCUCUGAAUAUUUUGUAAUUUCACGUCGUAUAUUUGCGUCGGUCCUGGUGUGCAAGGACCUUAAGUCUGUGCCACAGAUGAGCUGCAGGUGCACUGUUACCAUGGAGAUGAUUCCCACUCAGAGCAAGGGGGGCGCGCCCACCUGGUCUUGAUUGACAGCUGUCUGCCAGACAACACAACACAGGAACAGACGGAUUGUCUUGAGUUUCAAGUCAGAUUCAUGACAAAGGCCCUAAAUCAUCAACACUUUGACAUAUCAGCACUAAGGGUGUGGAAAAUAAUCUAAAUUAAUCGAUGCAUCGAUGCGCAUGUGCGCGAUGCAACUGCGUCGGCUCAUUCACUGGGUAUCGAUGCAAUUGACGGGUUAAAUCUAGAUUCAUCUAGAUGCGUUGGUCGGUAUCGGUAAAAUCCGAUGCAAGCGCCGUUUUAUUCAUGUUAAACUUCACCCCAUCUGCUGUUCCCCAGGCGCAAUGAAUGCACCAUCAUUUUUUCGCGUUUUGUAUUGAAUACGGACAGAAGCCGUGAGGGACAUACAAUGCACUACUAGUAAAACAGCACGGACCACGUUCAAAUGAGCAGCAGCGAGGAAGAGUUUAUAUGUAAUGCACCCGCUACGUUUAAAUCAUAUGUUUGGAAACACUACGGAUUUGCAAAGAAAGACGGAAAGCUCGACAAAACGUCCGUCAUUUGCAAAGAAUGCCGCGUUAAGAAGCCGAACAACGGCAGCAUGACAAACAUGCAGACCCACUUAAAAAGAGUACACCACAUCACCGACAAGUCUAACGACACCUCCCCUCCCUUAACAUUGAUUGCACUGUUAAAAGUGUCACUUUAGGUUACUCAUUGAGAGUGUUUUGUGGUUGCUGUUUACUGUACUUUUUACAGCAGUAAUUAUUGUGUAUCGGUAAAAUCCGAUGCAAGCGCCGUUUUAUUCAUGUUAAACUUCACCCCAUCUGCUGUUCCCCAGGUGCAAUGAAUGCACCAUCAUUACUUCGCGUUUUGUAUUGAAUACGGACGGAAGCCGUGAGGGACAUACAAUGCACUACUAGUAAAACAGCACGGACCACGUUCAAGUGAGCAGCAGCGAGGAAGAGUUUAUAUGUAAUGCACCCGCUACGUUUAAAUCAUAUGUUUGGAAACACUACGGAUUUGCAAAGAAAGACGGAAAGCUCGACAAAACGUCCGUCAUUUGCAAAGAAUGCCGCGUUAAGAAGCCGAACAACGGCAGCACGACAAACAUGCAGACCCACUUAAAAAGAGUACACCACAUCACCGACAAGUCUAACGACACCUCCCCUCCCUUAACAUUGAUUGCACUGUUAAAAGUGUCACUUUAGGUUACUCAUUGAGAGUGUUUUGUGGUUGCUGUUUACUGUACUUUUUACAGCAGUAAUUAUUGUGUAAUUGUUUUACUCUUUUAUUAUUGCAGAACUCACUCAAAUCACUGAUUUUCAGUGGCCAGUUAGAAAGUCAACUCUAGCACAUUGGUUUGGCAGACAAUAGUAUGGCCACUGAAUAGUUUAUUUGCACCAUGUUAGGCAGUGCAUUAGUUGUUUAAUAAUGUGUACUGUAAUAUUACCCAACAAGUAUAGAGCACUUGUGUGAUGUAGGGUUGGGAUUGGAAUCCUUUUUUUUUUUUUUUUUUUUUUUUUUUGAUUUUAUUGAUUCAGAUUCCUUAACAGUUGCAGGAGGUCUGUCUAAUCUGUGUAACUGUACAAAAUGGAACCCAAAGGAGCAUAGAAAAAAGACAAAAAGCACUUUUGUUGAAUUUACUGCCAAGUGCCUUUAAGGAAUAAAGCCAAAUCAUUUUUGUAGUACCAUACUGAAUUCCAUCUUUUAUUUUUAUAUCUUUUUUUUCUUUGCUUAUUUGCAUCAUGUUGAAUUGCAUCAUAUCGCAACAAAUUGCAUCAUAUUGUAUCGGAUCGCAUUGAUUUGAAUUAAAUGAUUAUCGUAUCGUAUCGCAUCAUGAAGAGGGUGAAUCGUAUCGCAUCGUAUCGCCAGAAAAUUCCAUGUAUUGUUAAAGUAUCGUAUCACUGGCAGUGCAUCGAGAUGCGUAUCGAAUCGUCCUCAGUGCUGAGAUUCACACCCCUAAUCAGCACCAUAUUUGACACGUCCCCUCGUGACCCCACUCUGAAGACAUGUCCCACCGGCGCCCAUCUUGGAUGUACCCACCAUUCCCAAACAGGAAGUCGCCCUUAACGCAGUAAUGCCCUCAUGUAUCUCCACCCAAAACAUGGCCUAAAUGUGAGUAAAUCAGUGGCAAGCAGCAGUGAAUCAGCAAGCGGGCAGGCACAUAUCAAAAUCUCCCUGGAAAUUUAUAGUUUUACUUAUUCCUUUCUGUUCUGUACACAGCCAUAUCAGUCUGAUAACAUCCCAGCAUUUCUUCAUUUGCACUCAUUAAGCAGCAGAUUAGCAGCAUUACAAAGCUUUAAUCAUUGCUCAUCCCAUUAACAGCCCAAGAAGAUCUUCCUCUCUACAGCCUCUCCUGAAAAUUACCUAAACCAUCUCCACUUAGUUAAAUAUGGCUUGAGUCUUGACCCUAGUCACCAUGACAACAUAAAACAGGGGCUGUCCUGUAGCCAUGGUGAUGAAAGCAGGUGGACACUGAGGUGCGAGGGUCAAAGCAGGAUGGGAACAGGAGGGAGGUUUGAGGGAGUGGAGAGAAAAAACAACCCUGAAAUGAAGAGAGGAAGGGAGGGAGAUCUCUCUUAAAGGAAAGGUUUAUAACAAGGAAAGAAAAAAAGGUAGAAAAGAACAAAGAGAGGAUAGAACAUUGAGAUACGACCUAAAUAUGAACAGUUGCAGGUCACUACAUCAUUCAGACUUCUUCCACUCCUGUAUGUUCGUCUGGCUCACAAGUUGAAAACCAUGCAUACAAAGUUUUAUUCAGACCAAGAUCAUAGCAAACAUUUGCCUGAAAUUAAUAUGCAGAAAAUCAUUGCAAAGACACAAAAAUCUCAGACUCAACCAACCACAGGAUUUUAAGUCACAACGAUGGUGAAAUGAUCAGGUGGUGUAAGACAUUUGACAAUGAUUGUUUUUGACAUGUUUAAAUUCUACCAAAAAUGUCAAUCAGAGUCCGAACAUGAAACCAGUGUUUAAGCAUGCUUGUACCCUUACAGAGUAACCAGAGAGUGUAUACAAUCAUAAUGAUGUGGUCAUUUUUACACUUUUUACAUCUACUCUGGGCAUAAAAUGUUUUUAUUUAUUUAUUUAUUUUUUAUAAUUUUUUAUUAUUAUUAUUAUUAGUUUUUUUAUGUGGGUUAUUGCAAGAUUUCAACUCUUCCUAAAACCCACAUCUUACCAAAUGUAUUUCUUUAAAAUAUCCAGUCAUGAUUUACACCAGCCAAAAAUGGGGACCGUCUCGCUUGUGAGUAACACUGCCAGCAGAUCCAGCCAUCAACAUUUUCUGUUCAGUAUAUAGAACUAAGUAUAACAUUUUGUUUCAACAAGGUCAUGAAGACAAUGUUGAGUGCUGUAUUGCAGCCGUUUUUAUCCAUCAUAAUCAGUUGUCAUGUCAUUCAGCAUUUUUUUUUUUUUUUUAUCUGGACUGUUAUGAUAAUGUGGUUUAUAAUGACCAGUAAUAAGACAAAUGCACUUGUAAGAUUUAAGUACUGCAGUGCAUUGACUUAUGACUUGCAAGACACAGAUGCACAGGAACUCCAACAUUGAAACAGCACUGCACAAGGUCUUUGCACAAAGAGUGUGCAGGUUUUCAGAUGUAUCUUUUGGAUGUGGUGGAAAAACAAAAAAGAAAAAAACAAACAAACAAACAAACAAAAAACAUGCACAUAAGCACCUGGAUCUGCAGCUAUAUUCAGAAAAGAUUGUGGUUGCCCAUAUUUUCUCACUAAAUACUCAGAAGUAUAAUGGACACAGAAAAUUAAACUUGUUUCAAAGAAAUAAGAUACGGUAAGAGAUAAGCGGGACAUUUCUCAGACCCCCAAUUUGAAGAUGCUUGCAGUCUGAGACCACACCACCAAAUGCAUUGCAUGGCAAAGGAACACAUUUUUUGGUGUGUAACUUGGGCUUCUGUUACCCUUAGCAGAACCUGACUGACACAACAACACAAGAGACUUGGAAAAAAAUGGAAAGACAGUGCCAGAAUUGUAGUCUUAAAACUGCAGCCUCUGGUUCUGCAGAGACAUAUUCAUGAAUCCAAUGAAUUAUCUGCUACUAACAGUCAGUUAUGUUGCCCUUUUCUUAACUGCUUGUUUGAGUUCGAACUUCCAAAUACUUCAAGCUGGUGACCAAGUCUUGGAAACAGUGAAUUUGUUAAGGAUUUACAGGAUUUAUGUUGAGUACAGUCCUUUAGCAUGGAUUUUGCCAUUUUAAAGCUUGGGUUCACCGCUCCACAGGUAAAUACUAGCAACUUUUUGCAGGCAGUAUUGCUACAUUUUGGGCUUGAGGCCAAUCUAAAUGUUGCGUUCAAGAAAAGACAGACAACAAGAAGAUCAUUUCCUUUCUCACAGUGAGAGGUGUCAGUGGGUUCAGUCUCCAGUGUCCAGUGUGGUCCAGGUCUGGCUAUGAAAAGCUCACCUGCUGUCUACCUUGUUUUAUGUCCAAUCAUAAGUCUGACACAUUUUCUAUGACUAUGAGCUCUCUGCAGUCUUUGGUACUUAUUUUUUUAUUUCAUUUUUUUUUCCUUUUUCCCAGCAACCAGCUUUUUCUGCUCUUAUGUGCAGCAGUAAAAUGGUGAGGAUGAGUAGAAAAAAAGCUGUGGCCAGUUCAGUGGGAUAAAAAUAAGAAAACUCCUGCUGAGAGUAAGACGCCUGUCUGUAACCUUACCGUCUCUGACGCCCACUUUUCUUCUGGCUUUGAGCCACAGUUGUUUCUGCAUUUCUUUGAACAAUCUUUUCUGACGCUCUUCAGAGCUGUGUUGAGGUCUUUCAAGGAAAACAGAGAGAGUGUUGAUAAUAAGUUGACUAACAACAACUCCUUUAAUUCUUCUCAAUCUAUGCAGUGGCAGUAAUCUGAUCAUGUUGGACAGAUCUGCUGAUUGAGAUAGACCAAAACUGUUGUUGUUGGGUAAUGUCAACAAACAUGAGUGUACAGACAGCAGUUCGUUUGAAAACCAGCCCGUUUGUAAUGUUGGGUUUACAAUGAUUCUGCCAUCAGCAUCCUGAAAUGACCCCUGUGCUGUACAGGUAUCCCAUAGUUUCAAUUAGUCUCAACCAGCCUCACUCGUCAAAUUCACACUGUUGUUCUCCACCAGCUUUGUGGUCAGUACUCCACCAGUUUUGUGGUCAGUCCUCCACCAGCUUUGUGGUCAGUCCUCUGUCUGUCAUGAUCCAGAUUUCCUGCUUAGUCCAACCCUGGUUCGAAAAGCCAAUCCUGUUGCCUUCCAAUAGCGUUUACAAAGCCAACUUGAAAAAUACUGUUGUCUCAAAAAAAACCUUUAUCGAAGUUUUGAAAACAUUAACCGAGAAAAGUUCAAGUAGACAACUGCAAAUGCAAAAAAAGUUAAAUGCAAGCACACAGUAAGAGUGAAAUAAAAAAGAGACAUGAAAACAGCCAGACAGGCAGCAAAAUACAAUAAAGUUGACUUCCUGGACAUUGUUACUAGUAUAAUAAGCUGAGGACUAAAAAGAAAAAGCAGUAAAAACAGUGUUAAGACAGGAUUUGAAAAGAGAGUCAGUCUUCUGACUGAACACCAAGAGAUUCAGAGUUGUGGUAUCCACUUUGCAAAUGCUUAAUCACACAGCCGCAAUGAAGGUAUGGUUAGCAUGCUAACUUUACGAGGUCCUUUGGGGCAUUAUGGCUGUAAGAGACUCAAUAUCAAGCAGCAACCUCAGUGCUGAAAAAGCUGAUGCCUGAGUGGAAAAAAAAAAAAAACUGUAUUUCCUUGACUGUCCACUGGAGGCUGUCUGCAAAUGCUAAGGAACCUCUAUCAGGUCCUGUGUUCAAACAACAAAAAGUGCUUUUGAUAUGGAUUGGGUUUUUAUUAAUUGAUCUUUAUUUUGUAUCAUUGAAGCUAAAUUAAAUGUCAGGGCUUAUGCAUAAUGUUGUGCAUUAUGUGGUGAACUGGCAGGUGUGUAUGUUGCAGCUUUUUUUCCAGGAGGUUACUGGGGUCCGUAUGACAUCAUUUUACUUACUGUGGUCUGUAGGGAUUGAAUCACCGUGGCCACCUGUAGCAUCAAGAACCAUACUCUCCUCUACCCUUGAAGGGGUGUCUGCUCACCAUAGCCAAACAGCAGAACAGCCACAAACUGCUCCAGCCCUGCACACUUAGCUCCAGUUUUGCCAUUUUUCUUUGGCUGUGAUGAGUCGUAUCUUCACACUCUACUGCACAGAACUGCACUGUGCAUUCUCACCCUGACUGAGCUAAAUUUUCUCCACAUAUACAGUAUGAGGGGCUAGAAUGACAUAUACUCAUGUAGUGUGCUAGAUGUGACAUAACUGUCAAGGCUCAUACCCAACCUAAUUCCUGGAGUGAGCUGGCAAGAAGUAGAGCAUGUACAAAGUUGAAAGAAAAAAAAAAAAAAACUUUAAAUACGAAAUAGUUCUGCUGGAGCCUGAGACAGGCCAAUGUAACUGCCAUAUAGUCAAAUGCUAUUUGUUGUAAAUUCUCCUAUGCUGUCACAAUGGUAGCAUCUGCUGGUCAAAAUAAAUGGUACACCUCUGGGUGUGAUCAUUGCUGACAUGUGUGUUGGUAACACAGGUGUGCCUGCAGUGAGUUUUAAAAGCCCAGCUCACUCAAGCAGAGGUCUUUCUGAUCUCCAUCCACACCCAGGCCAUGUGUAAUUGAGCAUGUAAGACUGUUUAUCUUAAUUUGACUGUCUUUUCUUUACCAUUUUCAUGUUGAUGUUGAGUUCUGCAUUCACUGUUUCAAGCUUAUGUUAUCUUAUUAUUUCAUUUGUUCUGACUGAUGCAGAAAAGCAUGGUUUGGAUGGAAAUAAAUCUUCAAACUAGCUUCAGUUGUCAUCUGCUCUUUAAUUGGAGACACUUAGGUGGUCAGCGUUAAACGGAACAAAACAAGUUUUAAUGCUAUGGUUAGGCUGUAUGUACAAAUACAUGUUUGCUUGCAGUGAGGUCCACUUGCAUAGACAUGCACAUUAAGCUCCAAAUUGAUGCAUGUUGGCUUAUCUUAAAGUCCUUCUCCAAUCAUUUUUUUUUCUAUUUAAAGUGUUCUUAGUGGUCUUUAAAUUGUGAUUAAGUUUUUAACCAAAAUCAUGUUACCUGUGUCAUUUUCAAGGGCUUUUCUUCUGUAGAGCUCUUGUAGCUCAUUAUAGCAAAAAGCCUCUGAGUUGUGGGCAGAGACAGCGCUGUUCUGCACACUCCUCUUCAGGCUAGCUUGUUGCCUAACAUUGCCGGAGUCGUAGAAGUGGCAGGUAACAUAGGAGCCAUUUAGCUCUCUGACACAAAUGUCUUUAGGGGCAUGAUGAAAGCUAAUAUCAUAUUUAGCUUUCUUAUGAGCAUUGCAAUCCGCACACGCUUGUACCGUGAUCGUCUUAUACUUUUCUGAGCGUGGCCUGCAUAGCGGAGCUCCAGGGACGGAGCUUGGAUUUGCUAUGCAUAAAAUCUCACUGAAUCUGAACCUGCCAUUUGGGUCUGCAAGAGAUUCACAGAGAUUUCAAUGCAGAAAUUCUCAGAAAUUAAAUUUUGCACUUACUUUUUUCUCAUGAGAUGUCCUGUAGCAUCAGAAAAAUGCCAUAUGAACAUGUAGACAACAAGAAAAACAUGAUUUUUACCAGAGUGGGUCUUUAAUGUAUGCAAGUAGCACUAUGCACAUGGAUGCAGUUUGUGUAGAAGCGCAGUUUGUGGUAUAUUUAACUCUUUGUUCAUGUUUUAAAAAUGGAGACUGUCUUUAGCCUCAUCAGCACAGUUUGGAGUUUGAGGGAAGCAAAUGUUGUGGUUUUUUUUUUUUUUUUUCUGUGAAUCAGGCCCAAAUAUUUUGAUUUUAAUCUGUCUGCACCAAAUAACAUUAUUCCAAUAAGGAAAAGUCCCAUUUUAUUUCCAUAAGCACAUUAUUUUGUUAUUUGUUAAAAUAUGACAGUUUGAGAUCAGCUUUAAUUCUUGAUAGGUGAAUUGUACAUUGGUUGUAUCUUACACACACACACACACACUUACGGACACACAGGCGUUCCCCACCUCUUCCCGUCAGUCAUUGUGUUUGCUUCUGGCUUUCUGUCAUGGUGGAGUGUCAAUGAAGACAGAGAGAGGUGCCAAUGCUGAAGAGGAUCCCAGAAACACAAGCUGAUCUUAUCGAAAUAGCACACACACACACACACACACACACACACACAGAGUCCCUUGCCUCUCGUAACAGAUAAUAAACAAAGUGCAGACUAUAAUUGCUCUCCAAGAUCUGUGGCGCCUGUUGCAGUGCAGAUGUGUGUGUGCGCAUGCUCCUGAGUAUCAUGGUGUUAUUGAUGGUCAUUAAAAUUAAUGAUAAGGGGCUGAUGUCACCAAGUAAAGGGGGUUCGUGCUUGCUUUCAUGCUUGCGUAUAUGUGUGUGUUAGAGAGGUUGCUGGAAGAUCAUGUUUGUGCUCGAAGUCGCUCAGCACAUGGGGUUUGUGGGUGUGAAUUCUUGCAUGCUGGUGCACAUGUGUGUUUCCAUGGAUCAGGGUAAGAUUUAUGGGUCACUAAGAGGUAGAGAGGAUGUGUGAUAAAGAGAGAGAGUGAGGGGGAUUUCAGACACCGGAGCAUAAAUCACUACCUGACUCUUCUCUCAAAUGGACACUUCUGUCUGUUGGUUACUUAGAUGGGAAGAGGAAGGAGGAGAGAGGAAACAAGGGGGCAGACAAGGAGGGUGUGAGGAUGAAGAUGCAGUCAUGAAACAAGAGUGCACAUGGAGGAAGGGUGGUUGCAUUUUCUAGAUUUGAUGAAUAUUUACACAGCUGUAUUUUCUGCAACAAUAAAUAAUAAGAGGAAGAUGAUGGGAAUGAGUGCAGAUGCAAGAAGUGGAGGGGGACAAGAAUAAAAAGGAAGAAAACAGUAGGUACUCACAGACUAAAUGACACUUAGUGCGGGCCAAAGCUUUUCUAAAGCUGAAUGUUUACUUGCCAUGCCUCAGCCUGUAAAAUGGUUUGCUUUAUGAUUUGAUUUCCAAACAGAAUAGCUGUUAAGUGCUCCAAUUUCAGACUGCAGCACCAGCACUUGAAUGCAGCAUCAUAGAAAAAAAAAUCACAGCUCAAAUAUAUUUUAAAACACAUCAAACUCUGAAAAGCAGUCAAAAAAUACAAGAUUCAUUCCUGUUCACAUUGCAAACAAUAUUAAUUUAACUGCAGGUAUUUCUCUGUAUAAGCGCGGCAGGAGCUGUGCUAAACAUGAUGAAUAUAUUGACAUGUAAGUAUGUAACAUGAGUAUUAUGUAAAUAAAUAAGUGUGCAGAGCCUGUAAAUAUGUACAUCUCACUGUGAAUAAGUUGAUUAUGAUGCAUCUGAAGUUAGCAUCAUUAGCUGGAGUAAAUUUACAUAGCCAACGUAUGGAAGGCCCUCUUCUGCAUUGUGUUUUGUGAACUCAAUUAUCCACACUCAAACAAAGUGUGUUUGUCAUGAAGCUUUAACCUUAAUGACAGAACCACAUGGUGUGGCAGCCUAAAGAGAAGUAUGUUUCUGUAUGUGUGCAUCUGCAAGUACAGAAAUGAUUUCCCUAAGCUGAGGCCGAGGCUGACUCCAUAGAGAUGUCAUACUGACAUAUAUAAGACAGAGGGAGUAUUUCCAACCCUGAAACCUGGACCUUGAAGUGCACUAAAUUAUGCAAAGUGCAUGCAUUUUGCACAUGCACAAACUUUUGUAGGCUCAGAGAAUAGAUGUUGUUCACUCAGAAAAAUAAAUCAUGGCAUAGUUUAUUUUUAAGUAUUUACAUUUAUUUGAUUUUAUUGAUAUUUUCCAUUUUUUUUUUAAUUAGAAUUAAUUUAACCUUCCUAAAAUUGGCAAAAAUCUGUUAUUCUGAAAACAAUUCUAUUUAAUCAUUUAAAAUGUAUGAAUAUAGUUUAAAUAUGAUGAGCUGUGGCUCAACCAAGAUUCAUUAAAUAAAAUUGAUGACAAAAACUAAUUGAAGUUAUCAAUGAUCAAUAUGUAAAUCUUCAUUAUUUAGUCAAAAGAUAUUGGGUAUUAUUACAUCAAUCUAACUUAAAUGUUUCAUUUACAUUUGACCGACAAAUAUGCAGCACAUAAAGUUUAUUGGCCUGUUUAUGUUAAAUCUGAGUAAUUCAAAUAGAUGGAAAUUUUGUAUGCAGUGAGCUGUAAAUAUUUCUGUGAGUGUAGGAGCUCUCUUGAAUAGACAGCCUUUUCUCUUGGCUAGUGUUAAUUUUAGGACCAGUUUUGGCACAUGCUGUCAAUUAUAACCCGCAGUGUGAUUCUGUUCUGAAAGCUCCCUGCCCCUCCAGGAGUGUACGUGGAAUGACAAAGCCUGGGACAGGAAGAGCACACCUUCCCUGGAGCUCUCUGAGAGCAGGCAUCAGUGACAACUCAUAAGACCCUGAUAAAAUCAGACUUAGCUCGAAAAGGAGGACCUGAGAUGGAGCAGGGAGAGCAUUGACCUCCAAAGUAUGGAACAGAAAUGACAUGAAAGUGUAAGACAUUGGUUAUAUGGUAUAAAAAGGAGGAGUUGGGAUGAAUAGCAGUUUACAGAGGAAGCAGGAAGAAUAGGCUGGCUAGAGCAGUGUAAACAAAACAACCAUUUUCAAUGCUGAAAUCGGGGACAUUUCCGGGGACAGUUUCUGGCUGGGGACAGCACAGGCAAAUUGGGGACUGUCCCCAGAAAUCGGGGACGUCUGGUCACUGUAAUCUAAAUUGUCAGUCAAAACAAAAAUAAAGUAUUCCUCUUAAAGACUGAGUAAGUUUAGAGGCACACAAUUUUUUUCACUCGUCUGCAACAGUUGUUGCAGUCAGAGUCCGUCACUGCCUUCAUGCACAUUACAAAAGUGCUUGCUUGACUGUGGAGGUUGUGUUCUGCCUUUGCAAGAAUGAAUCUUGCAACAUGGGUUGUCUGUGUAAAAACUUCCCCAGACAUUAAUUGAUGUAUGUUCAGGACAUUUGUGCAAAUGAAAAUGAGGCAUCAGAAUGCUCCUCAUCAUUUCGGACGAGCUGGUUUUGCAAACUAUGUAUCAGAGGAUCCAUUGCCCUGAAAGAGCCUUUUAUAAAGGGACUAGAUUUUCUGUGGACUUUAAAAUUUUCUUUUGACUUUUCAACCUAAAAAAGCUUUUUCCCUCUUUCACUUCCCAUCCUGCACAAUCUGUCAGCUGAUGGGAAAAAACUCACACACACACAGAGCAAAACACGCCUCCUACUGAUUUCUGAAACACUUGACUUAACCUCUGGGACAUGGUGGUCUACUAAGCACGCACACACAGACACACACUCACUCUCUCUCUCUCUCUCUCUCUCUCUCUCUCUCUCUCUCUCUCUCUCUCUCUCUUUCUUUCACACACACAGGCAUACAUGUUCAGGAAGAAGGACUUAACCUCGGAGAGUUGAUCCUUGCUAAAAUCUCCUGAAAUAUGAAUAACCUGGUGGCAGGAGGAGAGGAGGUUGAAGUGGAGCAGACACAAAGAGGGGAAGGAUGGAGGGAGCAGGUCGGAGUUGGUGAAUAUUAGAUGAAGAGACAGGGUCAUGCAAAGGUCUUGGACAUGUGCUGUGUCAGAGCCGCUACUUGCAGGGAGAAAUACUGCGGCAAAACCCACUCUGCUGAAAAACAUCCUACAAAAAUCAAGACCUGUAACCCUGCAGAGAUGUUCCCACCUGCUCUCAGCAGCUGGAUUUCAAUAUCUGUACAAUCCACUUCCUUUACUGAUAAUUCAAAUGUUCUACUCCAGCUUUAAUUCUUAAAUUUUUCAGCUAGUUUACAAACUAAAGGGAUAGACAGUUUUAAAACCUUUUUUUUAUGUUUGUGUCAAACAUUACUUAAUUAGACUUCUCAUUUAACUGUAUUAAGUGUAAACCCUGGAAGAUUAGUGACCUUUUUGUAGAAGCUAAAGAAGAAGAACUUUACUGAUCGCUGAAAUUCAAUAAUAAAGGGAUCCUACCAAAUAAUGAAGAAUAAAAAAAUAUAGAUAGAUAGCUAGAUAGAUAUACUUUAUUGAAAAUAUUUAAAGUGAUAUAGUUUUAAAAAAAAAUAGAUAUGAUUUAUAUUUGCUGAAUCAACUGAAAAAAACAAUUUAAUCUGAGGUAUUUUCUCAUAGAAUAACAUGCCCAAAAUAUUGUUUAGCACUGUUUCUUUUUUUUUAAAAUUUUUAACCCUUUGAUGCGCAACAUGGGUCAAAAAAGACCCGGCUGAGUUUAAAUUUUAUAUAUCUUUUCAAAAAAUUAAUUCCAUCAGUCGGUACUCAAGGAAUUCCUCAAUUUACUUGUUUUUGACGACCCUACAUCCUUAUGUUAAUUUUUCUUUUUUUACUUUUAGAAUAAAAAACGUUUUUGUAUCACUACCCCUCUAAUGCACAACAUGGGUCUAAAAUGACCCGUAUCCAUUUUCAAUGUUAUUUCAUGUAUGGCUGAGUGUUUCCAUGGUAUAUCUUUGAAAUAAAUUAAUUUUAUCAUUAACUAUUCCAAGUAUGCAGUAAAGAUCUUGUUUUAGUUGAGCACAAAUAAUCAUUUUUAUUUUUCCUUUCUUACGUUAUGAGGAAGCACAGAUUUUGUAUUUCUACAUCAAGUUUACAUACAUGGGUCAGAAACGACCCACAUACAGUGACUGUAGCAUUUAGCAUGAAAAGACCAUCUAAUACAUGGAAGUAUGGUUUUUCAAUUGUUCUGACAUUAUCUUAGAAAUUAUUUGAUGACAGUUGUGAAAUAUAAUUGUACAUAGAUUUGAUUUGAUUAGGUUUAGGUUACCUUGAGAGUGAGAACAUUACAUGUUGGAAAGUUACACAGUUACAGGUAAAACAGCUAGCGUUAUUUCAGCUAGCUAUAAUCAGACGCAUGUGUAUGUGACAAAAUGACAAAUAAACAUGUUGCUGAUACAAAAUACAAAAGUGUUUGGCCCAUAGACUGUAUAAAGAAUGGACAGCGUCUGCCUCCUUGCCGGGUGAAGCCGAGAACAGCACCCCCUGUUUACAGGCUGCAGUAUAGGUCAUAAAUCCCGCCUCCGCCAGCAAACCUUAUGGAGCUGUGGACAAACUUUAGAAAUUUAUUACACAGAACAUAAUUUUUUUUCUCCCCCCUGCUUGUGAUGUUGACAUGUAGUUACAGUAAGACUGGUUUGUGCUCAAGUCCUCUUUUUUCUGUACAGCUCUGUUUUUAAAAGUUAUUAGGGGGUUCAUGUUUUCUAUGAUUGACACCUGCCAUAGACUGUACAUAGAAUGGACAGAGUCUGCCUCCUCGCUGGGUGUAGCCACUCCGAGAACAGCACCCUCUGUUGAUGGGCUGCAGUAUAGGUCAUAAAUCCCGCCUCCGCCAGCAAAGAUUAUGGAGCUGUGGACAAACUUAAAAAAUGUAUUACACAGAACAUAAAUUUUUAUCGCUCAUGAUUGUGAUGUUGACAUGUAGUUACUGUCAGACUGGUUUGUGCCCAAGUCCUCUUUUUUCUGUGAAGCUCCAUUUUUAAAAGUUAUUAGGGGUUCAUGUUUGCUAUGAUUGACACCUGAUACAGCCUAUGGGCGUUCAGGGAUUGCGUAGCUCUCCCAGGGGAUAUGCUGUUUGAGCCGAGUGUCAUCGCAGCGACUCUCUUCAACUGUGCGGCCAAAUGCGCGCAUUGCUACUGCGCAGCGCUGGUUUCAGGAAAUGAAGAAAAAUCCUGGAAAUAUCGAGAGCUAUUUGGCUUCAAAUCUGUAUACAGGCAGUAGGCGGAACGAAGUUGUCCAUAGUAUAUACAGUCUAUGGAUACAGCCUAUGGGCGUUCAGGGAUUGCGUAGCUCUCCCGGGGUGAUACGCUGUUUGAGCCGAGCGUCAUCACAGCGACUCUCAGCGACUGCGCGGCCGAAUGCACGCUUCGCAACUGCGCAGCUCUGGUUUCGGAAAUGUAGAAAAGUCCCGGAAAUACCGAGAGCUUUUUGGCUCCAAAUCCGUAUACAGGCGGUAGGCGGAACCAAGUUGUCCAUAGUAUAUACAGUCUAUGGUUUGGCCCCACUCACUGCUAAUUUCAUUACUUGAAACAAAUUAUUAUUAAAGUGUUAGGUAAUACAAUAUUAAAUCACACUUGGAUGAAUGGGUCGUUUUUGACCCAUGUGUGUAAACUUGAUGUAAUAAUAUAGAAACUAUAUUAUUUCAUAAAGUAUGAAAAGAAAAAUAGAAAUAAUGAUCAGUGGUGAUCAAAAACAAGAUAUUUAAAGAAUACUUGGAAUAUUCAAUCAGAAAAUAAACUUAUUUCAAAAGAUAGAACAAAGAAAAACUCAGCCAGCAUGAAAUACCAUUGGAAAUGAAUGCGGGUCUUUUUAGACCCAUGUUGCGCAUUAGAGGGGGUGUGGAUAUGUUGCGCAUCAAAGGGUUAAGAUCUGAAUAAUUGUAUACCUUUUCUUUUUCCAUGCACGAAAUGCAAAGAAAUGCUUUCAUCUGCAAACAAAUACAGUCUGACACUUUCCUUUUUGCAUCUCUCUUGAUGAUUCUUAAAGGACUGUUGAAUUUAGGAUGAAAAACUUCCUAAACUUCACUGUUAUUAUUGUUUUGUUUUUUUUCUAUUUUGAAAGGAACUCCUCUAUGGAGUACAAAACACAUAAAAGAUGAAGUCUUGCUGUUGCAUAUGCAUUCUCUAAGCUUCUAAUUCAACAGUGAUGUUUGUUGGCUGUCUUGACAAAACAUGUGCACAGUGUGCAUAUGUACAGUACAAUGUACAGUAAAUAUAAAGUUGUCUAAAGUUAGCCUUUUUGAUGCUCUGUACCUUACCACAUUAAUAGCCCAAUCUGUUCCAUCUCUGCUGUUUGCAAAACUUUGAUCAAAUGCAGUGGCAGCCGGUAUAUGAGGGUGUUGUGGGCAGAGCAAAAAAAGAUGUUGGCUGUAUACCUGAGAAUUAUUAUCAAAAUAAGGAAAUCGUGCUAUUAUAUCAAUCAUAACAUUAAAUCUGUAUUUCAGUCUGUUAGUGAUCUCUACAUCCAGUGUGUGGGCGAAAUCGGCACGUCUGUUGUCUCACGCAUGCUCAGAUCACAGCUGUGCAUUAACAUUAGGGGUGCCACAGGCCAGUGCCCAAGCUUUCUGUGCUGUCACAUGUUCUCAGAUCACGGAUCUGCAUUAAAUAGUUAUCUUAUCCUAGCCACACACAAGUGUCCCUAUUUUGAAUGACAUAACCACGUUCAUGAGCAGAUUGGUCACAAACGGAUGCAUAGAUACAAUAUGCGUCUGACAUACAUAGCUAGCUGCUCUACUGGGGUCCAGUCUGCCCCUCACUCUACACUUGACUGCGAAUGACAGAAGAUGUAGGAAUGGCUAUCGCAAACCCCCCACUGAGUGAUUUACUGAAUCUACUGGAUGUCGAAGCUCAGCAAGUGACUACUGAGAAGGGCAAACAAUAUACACAAACAUUUUCAAGAGCAUGUUAUGGGCGCAAAGCAUGGCUAACUGGUGGUCCAAAGAGUAGGGCCCUUUUUUGUUUCUCAUGUAUGCUUUUCAUUUGGCGUGCAUGGAUCCUGCAUGGAUUGCUACCAGGGUGACUGACCUAAAGCAUCUGUCAGAGAAAAUUAAUUAAAAUUUCAGCUACUGAAACAGUUAAUCAACAAAAAUCUGUUUGUAGAAAAGUAAAGUAAAUAAAGAUAAAAACCUAAUAUAAACCAUAAAUUUAUUAUAGUGAGACACUACAUAAAAGCCAGACUAAAAAGAAAGCUAACCCAAUAUUCAUGCCACAAUGUUCGAAAUCAAUAACUUUUAAGGUAGAGUGAAGAUGUCCUGGAAAAGUCCUAGAAUAAUUGAUUGGGAACCUUGUAUUUGUUCUCCCAGUUUCAGUUUAGUUCCACUGAAAUAUCAAAUGUAAUAGAAUUGUUAUGUAUUUAAGGCAAAUGUUUGUGUUGUUUUCCUUUGGCUGAUCAUAUUGAUAUGCAGCCGGAUUUGUUAUAAAUGUGGGUCUGCGCUCUCCUAUUUUUCUGCUGUUGUCUUUGUGUGCUCCUUUGCUGUAGCCUAACCUGUUGAGAUGCAGGUGAAUGUACACAAGUACACGACCGUCAGUUUCCAUAUCAUAGGAUUUCAUUGAUUGUAGCUAGGCUGUGUGUUGGCUAUAAUGCCCUGUUAAUAAGUUGAAAUACAGGUUCCCCACCCCAUUUGUCUUUGUAGGUCAAGACAAUGGGCUCUAUUUUCGUGCCUCGCCAGAGACGUGCCGCAGGCACGGCGUAAGUCAGGUCCGCCGCACUGACAAGGCGUUCCCAAGCACAAUUUGGUAUUUUGGUAAGCAGCGCAGCCCGGCGUUAGUAUCCCCCCUCCCUAACUCAGCUCCUCCCAGCGGCGUAAGUCGUAGUGAGGGAGGAGAGAGGGCGUGGAGUGGGUUUAACACAGCCGAGACCUGUUUUCACCAAUCAGAUCAGCUUCUCUCCUUGCCUUGCUGCGUAUUACCAUUUUCGUGAAGUAGUCAAAGAGAUCAAGAGAUGUCUGAAGACAGUAAUGCCACAAGAUGGCGACAGAAGGCAGCUCCUCAACAAGUGUCACUGUAAGCGCUGCACUGGGCAUCCUCCACACUCUCAUAUGAGCACAGAUGGAUUUGGUGUGUGUAAUGUUGGACCCACUGGUAAGACAAACACCCUUUUCCACAAAUAAAGACACUCACAUAAAGUUGCAUAUAUCAAACCUCACGUGACAAAGGUGGGUUGUGCGCACAGAUCACAACAUUAACUCCAAAAAUGGCAUUAAAAUCAGAACCAUCUGUGCGUAAAUGACGCAUCGCGCUCCGUGGCCUGGCUCACAAAACUGAAUAUUAUAAUAUUGGUAUGUCGGCUUAAAGUAGAUAACGCAUCUGAGCACUGAAACAAAUCAUCUGUUCAGCCGCCGCAGCAGCAGGACGGAGAGAGGACACGGAGACGUGUCCAGGUUGAGCUGUUCGAGAAAUAAGAGGAAGAGGAAGAAAGAAAAGGAGGGAGACGAAUUACUAACUAGUUAACGUCAUCAUGUGUGUCUAUUUGAUUAAUGCGGUUUCAGCUGUGUUGAUUCGGUCAGGUUGUGUGUCCAAACGCGUGCCAAACGCGCUCAUCAGAUCAGAUAUAGAUCAGAAUAUAUCUUUAUUGAUCUAAAUGUAUGUGCUGACUCAGAUUAAUAGUUGUUGAUGAUUAUUUAUUGCACUGAAAUGUGCCUGACACUGUGGAAACCUGCCAGUGAGGCAUCAGUGACGUAUGCCGAUACGCCGCCGGUCUACCAAAAUACUACUAGACCAGCUGCGCUCUGCCUGCGCUGAAGCUGACCAGGUUUGAAUCGGCGAGCUUUCAGCGCACUUUACACGCCGGUGGCGAGCACGAAAAUGUCACUGCACCCGCUGAUUCUGUCGACACUUCCCCCUGCCACGCCACCACGCCCAGCUUGGCUGAUCUCGGUUCGCCUCUGUGCGCCUCAGUCCACGAAAAUCCCAAACUGGCUGUACGCCGGGCUGCGCCAGACGAAAAUACAACUGCGCGGGGCUCGCCGCCCUCCGUCGCCUCACCGGCGUACACGAAAAUAGAGCCCCAUAUGUUUCCUUAAUAAUUUUCUCAGAAUACACCAGAAUGCUUCAUUUACAUGUGAAAACCAAAAAAAAAAAAAAAAAAAACCUUUACAGGGCUAUGGUUUCCAAACCUUCAGUCCCUGCACGCUUCAAUAACACGAGAUGGAAAUUGCAUUAAUGAAAUAACUUUUAUAACAUGGAUCUGGGUAUUUCUGUCAUGGGUUUCUCAUCUUUUUUUGUACAUGUUAUUGCAAAUCUCCUUUAAACUUAGUAAUAUACCAAAAAAUCUUAAAGGAACAUUGAGCUCUGUAAAAUUUAUGGGGAGUCACUGAUUGCGGCAACCAUCUGACGUCGCAACAUAAACAACAGUGGCAAAGAGGUGCGUUUAUUUUUAAAACAUCCUUAAAAUGUGUCUCCUUGUUUGGCCUAAGUCUAAAUUUAUGACUUUUUUUUUUUGUGAAGAACUUUCCGUUUGCAUUGAUUCUGGCGCCCUCCACUGGACAAAGUGAAACCUCUCAAGUCAUUGCCUCUAUAUGGGUAAAGCUGUAUUCACACAGGAUAAGUUCUACCUUAGAACACCUGCUCAUUUGAGAUAAUUGUGGAGGAUAAAAGUUUCAAAAGGAAGCAGUGCAUCUUGUGCUCCAACUUAUGGAGGAUAAAAAGUUCACAUUUGAUCAGUUCAUUUUGCUCACAUCACAAAAACAGAUGUUUCAGGGUCUUCACCGGAGCAUUUGGACUAAAUGUACAAAUACCCUUAAAUGAUUGUGGAGGAUGUCAGUAUAUAAUCGACCAUUUCUACAAUUCCUAAAGUACAAUUUCAGGGCAAGUUACCCACAAUACACAGAGGUCCUCUGAUAGUCAUUUUGUUUAAGAAAAGAUUACCACAUUUUUCCCCUCUCCUUUUUGGGUUAAAAUGACUGCAUAGGGGAUCAGUAAAAAAAUGUUACCAUAACAACAAUGAAAAUUAAUGUCUUAUUCCUGCCACUCAUGAGAUUAUCAGGGUAUGUGGUAUAAUAACAAAUAAAACAUCCAGUAAAUGUAAGGAAGCCCCAUGUAUCUGAAAACAAUAAUGAAAAUUCUGGUUUGAAUGGGUCUCUCUCUACAAUCCUUACAUCAAGAAAUCAAAUGUCAUUUGUGGGAUUACAGUGUUAGAAAAUAGAAGAAAAAAACUUUUGUUGGGCUCAAAAUAACCGUUUCAUUGUGCAGUAGCUUUUAACCAUUUUAUAAAGUUAUUUUAUUUAACUUUGGACGAUAUGUCCUUAAGUUUUAAAUUCAUGUGCUUUGUGGAAGUUCAUCAUCUUCAUUUCAUCAACCUUAAGCAGGCUGUAAACUGCUGGGUGUUAUGUUCACAUCAGAACAAGGUAGAUAUCGAGCAGUGCCUUUGUGUUCUCAGUCAGAAAUUGUGGCAAAUUUGAGUAAAUGAAGGACUUUGCUUAAAGGUGGGGUAGGCAGGAUCUGAGGAAGUGCCAAUUUUUGGGAGAAAUCUUGAAUGUAAAAACUUCCCUUCCCAGCCAGUUUUCCCCUCAGCUCCUCCUCUCCCCUCCCUCUCUGCUCCAGCAAGCCCCACCCACAAACAGACACUCCUGCUCACUUGUAUCAUUCCAAUUAAAUUCUGAUAUAAUGCAGAUAAAUAAUUCAGAUAAUUACAAAUGGGGCCCACUCAAGGUGAAUGUAAAAAGCCUUGGUGCUACUGUAGAUGCCAACAGACUACCAGCAAACACAAUGUUUGCAGGACAUCUACAACUCGCAUAAGGUGACAUACUCCAGGACCCGAGGUAAUAAGUUUAGCAACGCUACAACACGCAGCAGGUCCUGUUUGACAAGAAACACUUCUAUUACAGACACUUGGCUUACUUUUUUAAAGCGGUUUACCUGUCCAACAGAAAGGUUACAGGGUCCAUAAGAUCCCGAAGUGUCCCCAACAUUUAUGCUUUAUUGAUGUUGACCCAGCUUUUUAGCUCUUGGUCUACCUCUGUUUUAAGCACCCUUUAUUCUGCCAGAGUCUUCAGUAUUUACUUCUUUUCCAGCUUGUGUUGGCAGUCGUGGCCAAAGGAGGAUUCAGACAAUUUUCUGUACUUUCUGGUUGGUUUCUACUGUCCGAUAUUGUAGCACGCUGACUUUGCUUGGGCUUGUGAAUGACACGGGGAGCAGCGUCUGCCUCACAACCAAUCAGCACUAAGGAGCAGCAUCCGCCUCACACCAAUCAGGUUGGGGGAGGUGGAGAAUGGCUUUGUUUACAGUCAGAAAGAGUGGGCCGCUCAAAAAUUUAAAAUGUUGACUACACAGACAUAACAAAACACAUAAAUAUCAUGAUAUUACUAAAUGUCAUCAAUAACUAAUAGCUAUUGACUGAUAUUAAAAGCUUUUUUGUAUAUACACCACAAAAAAGAUGCUUCUUUAAUGGAAUCCUGCCUUCCCCACCUUUAACCUCUAGCUUUCUGCAAAGAACAAAGCCUGAGUCAUGGUCAUCUGGUCCUAAAAUACUUAGAAUAAAUCAUGCAUAUCAAAGAAAUGUAGUAAAAAGGUUAAGGUUAGCAAGUUCACAGUCACUAUGUUUCUUUUUGUUCUAGCAAGGAUAGGAAAACGUGCUGUGUGCAUGCUCUUUGGAAAAACUAAAAGAAUUAACCUAAAAAUUAAAGACUAUCUGCUACAAAGGCCUUAGGAAAGAAAGACAAACACUGGUGCAGCAAAAUUCCCCACAGGAUAGAAAAAAAUCAGAAACCUUAAAGUUCAAAAAGAAAGAUUUAUGUUACACAAUUUUGCCGUUAUCAGACUUACAAAAUAUGAGCUAUUUGUGAAAAAAAAUCAAAAGUUUGAGGAAUAACCUUGAAGUUUCUCUCAGUACAAUUCAAUGUUUGACAAAGGUAACUAUUCAGCAAAGGGUUCACUUCAAACGAGCAAGAGUGAGAGAAAGAAAAAAACAAGGAUAGAGAGGAAGAAAAGAGUAGGUAGGAAAUAAUAACCGCUGUAGAAACACACACACACACCUAUACAAAUUGAUUUCCUGAGGAGUGACAGAAAGGUGUGUCGAGGUCAGUUGGUGAGAGGUUUUAUUUUACCACAAUGCAUUGGAACAAGCCUCCCAGGGACCCAAUCAGAGAGGGAGAUUCAGGCCAGGUUGUUGUCAGCACAUAAAUAGAAACAACAAAAAUCAUGCACACACACAAACACACACACACACACAGAUGUAACAUUUAAUUUUUCAGUGUUUUAAAAAGCGGAGGUCAGGCCACAGAAAUCUGCUCUUUUAAUUGGCGGCAGUUUGAACAAAGUGGGUUAUUAUUCUUGAACAUUAAGCUGAGAUAUCUGCUUUAAUUCUGCUUUUGAAUUGGCUUGAAUUGAUGUAAUCUAAAAAAUGAGAUCACCCUGGUUUAAAUCUUUAGGACUUUUAUCUGAUUCAGUUUAUCCCCUGAUGUGCUCUGAAUUCUCUGCUUUUCUGAUGUACAUAUCUACACUGGUGUUUGAAAAUGUAAAGGUCCAGGGUGAAAAUUAAUACAUGCUGAGCUUGACUAUGAUAUAAGGAUAUAUAAUGGAAAGUGCUUAUAAAGGGAAUCACCUCUCCUGCUGCAAAAACUCUCUUUGAGUUGUAGGAAAUGUCUCCCUUGGCAACAGAAGUGCGUUGAGCUCUUAUUAAGUAAUGAAACAGCAGUUUAAGAAGAUUUCUGUCUGAAUGAAAAGAAGAAAACUACAUAACAGUGAUAAAUAGUGUCAGAAAAACACGUAUCCUAAAUAUUUACCUUUUACAUAUGAAUUAUGAGAUUCUAAAAUCAUAAAAUUAUCUUUUUUUUUCAUGUUUUUUUUUUUUUUUUGUCAUUUUUUAAGUCAUUAUUUAUCCUUCCACUAAAGGGUUACAACUAAAAUAAACUUAGGAUUUUAACAUGACUCACAUAAAUAUAAAACUUAAUUCAAACCAGUAAUUCUUAAUUAUGAAGCUAAGUGACCAAGGACAUUAAAGGGGUUAAAAGAGAACUGCAUGGAGCACUGUUAGUCUGGUACACUAAAUGUUCAUCCCAUAAACAGAGAUCAUGGUCCUCAAGCAGAAAGCUCAGGUUUAAGUUCAACCAUUAGCUCUUUUUCUGCCUGUCACACCCAUCUCUCUGUUAUGAAGUCUACCCACUGUCCGGUCCCUAUGAAAAAAGCAGUAUUUGCAUUCAAAAUUACACCUAUGUUAACACAUUUUUUCAUUCUCUUCUACACCGAGCAAAGAAAUCUGAUGUUUAAAAAUAUUGUUUUUAUUGCAAAUAAAGUCAAGUUUUAAAUCGUCAUCCAGCACGAAGAAAUAAGGAGAAUUGCAGCAGGUUACCAGAAAUUACACCUUGUAAGAUGCAGAAGAACAGAUGUCUUUUUAUUCUUUCUGCAUGAGGACCAUGGCUUUGAUUUUGUUUACUCUUAUACUGCACAUAUCAAAUAGAAGCCGUCCUUGCUGAGUAUGAUUUGCUGUGAUUUCUUAGUAAAAGUAAUUUAAAUCCUGCUAUUACAUUUUUAAUGUCUCGUAAACCUGUGAUGUUUUGCCACUAAGUGUGCAUAAAAGAGAUGUAAAAUACAAUCAAACAAAGUGUACACACAGACAGACAGACACACACACACACACACUCACACACAUUGUACAUCCAUAUAGUGAUGAUUCUGUAGUUUAAAUGAUCAUCAUGGGGGAAACAAAGAGGGACAGUAAAAUUGUUUUCCUAUUCAUGUCUGCAUCUAACCAUCAGAAAUAUAUAUUCGACCUACUCUCUCUGCUCUGUGUAAUUGCUGCACUGCUGCUUACAAAGCAGGAAUUAUUCAGAGAAAUAAAGAGAAGUUCAGAUAAAAAAACACAAUUUGACUGUCUACAUUUGUUACAUUAACCACAGAGAACAUCAGAUGAACCAAACCAACCUGACACACACACACACACACACACACACACACACACACACACACACACACACACACACACACACACACACACACACACACACACACACACACACACUCAAUUGUAGACCUUAAAAGGAGCAACUUAACCUCAGAGAGUUGAUCUUAGCUAAAACCUCCUGAAAUAUGAAAGAUGCGCCGAAAGGGAGUGAAGGGGAGGAGAGAGUGAAUAUUAGAUGGGGAGAGUUGAGGUCAUGAAAAGGUCUGGGACAUGUGCUGUGUCAGGGCUGGAGCAGAGAGAGGUUUGAUAGAGCUGCAGAGAGAAGCCUGCAAGAACUGAACUCACCAGUCGGAUGUGAAAAAGCUGUAAAACCUCACUUAUGUUCAGUCAUGGUGUUGGAAGGAUAAUAUCAAGGCUGCACUGUUUGAAUGCUUUUUUUGUCAAUGCUGUGAUUUCCUGCAUUAAAACUGACUAAAAGGGUCACUGAUGCUGGUGCUAUGCUUUCAGUGGUGAAUGAAGCACCUGAAAUCUUCACCUCAUACUGAUUGUUCAGGGUCUUAAGAUCUUUCUUGUACUUAUGUAUUUGUUUAUUUGACCAUGCACAAAUCCCAGAUGUACAGUAUUGCACCUACAGUGUUGACAGCAAAAUGCCAAUUUGCCAGCAGUCCAAAAAUUUUUAAUUAAUUAGUAAGAAAUAAGACAAAAAGUACGAUUACCAUGCAGUUAUGAAAAUAUGAGUAUAAGUUGAGCUUUAUAAAAACUUUCCCAAUGUUUAUGUUUCAGGUAUGAAAACAGUGUUGUUUCUCUGUCAGACCUUUGUUUAAAACAAAAAAGUUGUAAUGCAGUUUCAGCUCAGUUUGCCAACCUUUUCAAAAGUUUUGCACCAAUAACAGAGAAGACUCUAAGAUUUUAAACAUUUCAAACAAUGGAGAACAUUCAAACAACUUCUGAAUGCAGCAGAAUGACUGCAAACAAUUAAAGCAUAUUUUAGUGCCUGUAAAUCAUCCCUUUAUGUCUGUAAAACAAAAUGCAUUCCUUUUGGAGCUUCAGACUUUCACAGGAAAAUUAGAGCAAAGAAGGUUGAAAUUAUACUAAACAUUUUUUAAGGAGUAAUGAACAACAAUGUGGGUGUGAUUGGGGCUCAGCGGUAUAGCAGGUCAUCUCCUCGUUGGAGGGUCAGGGGUUCAAUUCCAGGCAUGAAUGCGGUGUGAAAGUGACAUGCAUGUGAUGUUAAAGAGCUUUAAAGGUCAGAAGACUAGAUAGGGAAUGAGAGAGAGGGAAACACAGGCCACUUAUCAACACACAAAGUUGGAAACCACAUUAAAGCAGAGUCACACUAUAUUUUAUCUCUGGGAUUGAGAGUGACUUUGAGUAUAAACUCUUUUUACCAUGGUUUUUUUCUUUUUACAUAGAACAGUCUUUAUUUCUGUCUUUCUUUUUAGCUUCUUGUCCAUUUUAAGUUAUUAUUUUCUUUUUAAAAAUGUCAUUUUAAUGAUUUUUGGUUUCGUAAUGGGCCUUUAUUCCACCACAGUUUGGUUUUUAUCUGGUUGAGAUAGCCUUUUAUAGUAUUCACUUAAAAGGUCUUUAAAGGUUUGGAUCUUUGAGAGUCCUUUGAAUCUAAAAUACCAUACCAUUGUUUUCAUAUACAUUAUCUCUUUCUUUUCUUUUAAUCAUCUUUUUAAUUUGCCUUUUACUGUAACAAUGUGCAGUUUCCAUCUUUUGAUAAAGAAAGUGACAGUAAGUGGCUUCCUUUUUUUAAGUAUAUGCAGGCUUUGAGGCUGAAAUUUGACCCUGGUGGCUUCCUGUAGUCUGGAUGUAUACAGCAGUGAGGGAUGUGUGUUUAUAAUGAACUCCAUUAUCCCUCUUUUGUUCCUUCAAAGUUAAACUGACAUGUUUAUACACCAUGACUCCAUGUUUUAGAUUAAGUCUUAAUGCAGCAAUGUCCUGUUCAUGUCUCUCUGAAACCAUUACGAGAACAGUCUGUCUGCAGCUGUGUGUGUGUGUGUGUGUGUGUGUGCUCUGUUUACAUCAGUAAGUUUAGAAAGUCCAUUCUGGGCAAAUCUAUACCAUACUGAAGGAGAGUGUGUGUGUGAUCCUCUGCAUCUGUGUUUCAGCUUUUAGUGGAACAACACACAUGCGUGCGCACGCACACACAGCUUGGUGAAAAUCAUUACAAGCAGGUGUGUUUAGAUAGAUCCAGUUUCGCUGGCCGCCCUUGCACAAACAAAUGUACUCUCCCUCUCCUCUUUUUUUUCUCUCUCCCUCUUUUUCCUCCUCUGACUCUCUACGUGGUGUUUUUUUUCUGUUUACUUUUUCCCUGCACAAAAUGCAUGCCUCUUCAUUUCCUCUGGUGUAUUUGUGAGUCUGUAUUUUUGCAGCAAACGUUCAUGCAGAGCUGCAAAAACUUACAUACAGGUCUGAGUUGGUACCUGUCCUAAAUGUGAGCACGUAAAGAGGACUCACCUGCUCAAAGACAAGCACACGAACUCUCUUUUUCAAACCUCUUAAGUCAUUCUCACUCAAAGUUUUGCUCUUAAAUGUCUCCAAAGAGAGCUCAUCAUGUUUUUUCUUCCUUGCUUUCCUUGGCUAAACUGAAAGCCUUGCUUUAAGUGCUUUUUGGAGUGUGUUGUUGAAUUAAAGUUGUAACUAAAUCCUUCAAUGAGUUGAUAUGCGAUUGCUUUAGUAAGAUGGCUGUGGUAUAUACAAUGGAGAAGGCCACACAAUCACCUAAAACAGGUGUAUUUAUUCUCCAGGGCUGACAAGAUCCUCAGCAGAUCUGAUGCAUAUUUGAACAGAUACUUUAAUCCUCCUUAGGUCCUGUUAAUGACAACAGUUAUUGGCUUUACACUGUCUGGCAUCCUUCACCACUCCUCUCACAGUACUAUCCAACAAUUCUGGUCUUGGAAAUAUUUUGCAAAACCUAAAUGAAAUUUUUAGAUGGCAGAGUGAUCAAAGUGACUACAUUUUAAAGUCUUUUUUUUUUUUUUUUUUACUAAGUAGAAGCUCAGAUAGUCAAUUUAGUUGAGGCUAUUAUUGUUUUUUGUCUGGUGGGGAUACUUCAGGUGGCAGGCUUUCUGAGGGAUCACUGUACGUUUGCUUUUUUUUUGUUUGUUUGUUGUUUUUUUUUGUCAGAACUGAACACAUGCAUAUGGUGGCUUAAAAUGUCUGAAAUCUUCCACAGCUUUGCAGGGGUGAUAAAAACCAACAUUAGAAAGGAACCAGGUUUUUAAAGUCAUGUAGGUGUUUGCCCCUGCUGCUUAGAAACAAACUGCAACAGUUUGUUUCUAACAAACAUGUGUCAGGGAUCUGCACAGCCAAUGUGCCAAACCAUUGUCGAGGAUGUGUGGCAGCCAUCAUACCACAAGUGCAUCACUGACUUUAGUCCCAUGGAGAAAGUCCAACAUAAUGUCUAUGGUUUUUAAUUCUAUCUUUGGCCCAUGUUUGGCUAUUUACAGGGUUCACAUUAUAUUUAAUUUUUGAGUUAUAUUUCAAUGUUCUGUAUUGCAUGACAUCCUUAUUUUUCCUGAUCAAACUACCUUGCUUCUGGUUGCUCAGUGUCAAAUCCUUUUCUGUCAGUCUGUCUCCGUGUACACAUCAUCUGCUCCUGUUUUGCUGAGGUGUAUUUAUAUUUCUGAUUAUGUGUAUUUAUGAGUCAUGCUGCAGCAGAAGGAUGACAUGGCUGUGUUAGCAUUUAAGCCUCUUCAUGUCACACAUGUUGGUCCAACAUGCACUGUGCUCAUCUGUAUUCCUUGAUAAGCAUGCAUUAACUGUUUAGAGUCUGACCAUCUUUGUGUGUAAAUGCAGAAGUCUCAGUUCAUGUGUGAGCAUAGACUGUAUAGUAUGGACAACGUCACUCUGCCUUCCGUCAUUGUAUUAUCGGUAUACAAUGAUGGUAUUUCCGAGAUUGUCUCCUCUUCCUGAAACCGGCAUUUGUGCUGUAGUGUUCAACAGGAGAGUCGCUGUGAUGACGCUCUGCUCAAACAACGUAUCCCACAGAUAAUCCAUACAAUCUUCAUACACCCAUAGGCUGCAUCAAGUGUCAAUCAUAGAAAACAUGAUGUCAUAUCCUGUUUUUAUAACCCAGAAUAACUUUUAAAAAAGGAGCUGCACAGAAAAAGAACCUGAGCACAAAUCAGUUAUAGUGAUUUGAAAUGAGCCUCAUACGGUCGCACCAAAAUAUAUGUAGCGAUUUGAAAUGAGCCUCACAAGGCCGCACCAAAAUAAUACUUGGUGAUUGGAAUUUAUAAUAAAUGUCUGAAGAUUAAUAAUCUCAAAUUAUGACAUUUAUGCACUCGUUGAAAGGGGCACCACCCACCCUUAAUGGUGGGAAAAUAAAGAAAACAAAAGUUUAAUUCAGAAAUCAAACAUCAAGUCAGUUUUAAUAAAUCAGUCUUAAUUAAUCAGUCUCAUAUCUUAAGUCGAAAUUCUAAUUUCAGGGACUCCACUUCUGGAAGAACACUAACAGACAGGAACUUAGAAAAAUAAUGAUCUGUUUAUUACAGGAUAAAUGAUGGUACAACACACAUGCAAUAAAUGAUGAUAAGAUAAUGAAGAUAAAUAAUAAUAGGUGAAUAAAUAAAGAUUCUGAGUCAGGCUAGGAGCACUAAAGUUAAUGAUAGUGAGUGAAUAUGUGCUAACAUAUUAACCUACACUAACUUUGGUGUCGAGAUAAACUCGGAUGUGGAUUUGGAGGAAUCUAAGAUCACCAGAAAUAGGUGGAUAUCUGAGUUAUGAACGCAUGAGACAGCACCAGCCCUCUUUAGAGCUCUGGAGGUUUGCAUACUUAAGUGAGACUGGUCCUUGGAGAAGAUGGAGCAGGUUCCGAAGGUCCGGGGCUACUGGCGGUUCGAGCGGUUCAGCUCAGAAGACGACUGAAGUCAGCCGAAGGAUGAGCCAGGAGUUGCAGCACUCGGGCCCGAAGCAAAGCCAGCGCCUGUGGAUCCUGUGGAUGCUCGUUUGGGUACUUCUUUGGUCUCACUUAAAAACUCUGGCACAGAGGAUGACCUGGGCCUGCUGGGUUGCGUUCAGAGGUGACUUGAAAUCACGCAGAUAACUCAGAAAAACGAGGCUCAAAGAGCAGAGAAAACUUUCAAAAAUGGCUUCGCGAAAUUAAAGAAAAAUCAAUCAAAGGCUUAAUCUUGAAUUGCUAUGUGCACAAAAAGUUGAAGUUUCAAAACUUGAACUAAGACGAUGUUAAAGAAAAAUCAACGUGAAUCAACACGUGGCGUAAAACUUAGUAGACCAAGAAAAAGUUCUAAGAGAAAAUAAAGAAACGCACCACAGAAGGGUGUGGGCAGAAGAGAAGGGGCAUAAGAGCCGGGGACAAGAGAGUCCGCAGAAGAGCAGAAGCAUAAGAGAGAUAAGAGGAGCAUAAGAGAGAGUGAGCAACCCGACUUCACUGGUUUUAUCUUCUCACACUGGGAGUGGCUCCGGCGUGUGUGUGAGACAGAGGAGGGGUCGUGGAAUCUCUGAUUAUUUGAUCUAACUUAUUCUUUUGGCUGGUAAAAGAGUCAGAUCUGAUACUCACUCACUAUGAUUAAUAUCAUUGAAUGCUUGGUUUCAUGAUAAAUAAUUUGAUACUAAACACAUAUGAAUGAAGUGUAGGAUCACAUCAAACAUUCUCAUUAUGUUUUAAGUAUCACAUUGAACAUGCUAAAUUACUCUGAAAUGAAACAGAUAGUAACACAUAGAAACUGUGAACAACAAAAGAGUAAACACAUGUGAAUGAACGUCAUCAUGAUUAAUAAUGGAUUCUAAAUACUCACAUUCAGAUUAUUCAGUGACAUUAUAACCACCUAAUGGUUAAGAUACUAAAUAAAUAACUAAAAUAUAAUCCAAACAUUUCUAAACUAUUUCUGUUACUUAGAGUAAACUUAGGAUUCAUAGUCAAUAAAUUUAACUCUUAAAAGUUCAUGAAACAGUCUGAAAAGCUGUUGGUCUAAAGAACUAAAGAAUAAGGAUUUAUUCUGUCAGAUAAGAUAACUUGGCUUCUGAAGCACAUAGAAAAACGGGAAACAUCUCAUUUUAACACAAAUUUCAUGAUUAGACAGAUUAGUACAUUGCUGAAUGCAUAAGAUGUCAUGAUCAGUCAUUUGUAUUCUUUCACCAAAGGAAUGCAGUCUUUAUCAGUGUAUGGUCGAGCAGGGUUUUACGACCGAGGUCUGGAGGUCAGUGUCCCCCCUUAUCCUGGGGUCCGUAUGUU
rnacentral:lncRNA from 1 species